rnacentral:lncRNA from 1 species
UAGUAAUCACCUAGCGGAGUAGUAUUCGCCUAAAUAAAAUUGCCGCUUGAGAAGUAGUGCCUCCAAUGGCACCGGAUAUGCUGUGUACUGCUUGCUUCUUGUGAGUUUAUGGAUGAUGGUGAAUCAAGUGUGACUUUAUUCGGUAAAUGGUUGAUUUCAUAAGGAGCUGAUAUGUCCCAAGUAAUUAGCAUGUCGAAAUGCUAUGAUACUUGAAUCUAUGUGGUCUCAAGCCGGUACAUUGUUCCCCUCUUCAUUCUUGGGCUCACCCGACCUGCUGGGGCUUCCGGCGGCGGAGCUCUAGCCUGGAGCCUCCAAGAAGGCAAUGCAAUGCACUGGUUCCUGGUUAAUGCUUAGUGGCUUAGUGGAACCUGGCCUUUCUCUGAGUGUAAACUCAAAUUCUUCCAUUUUGAAAACCACUGACCUCUAGCAGUUGGAACCGGGGAACCAGAUAUUUCUCCUCAAACUCCUCAAAAAUCAAUUAUAAGCUGAGGAUAAUCAGAGCAGAAAUCAGACAAUGGGCUAGGUCUAAAUCAAGCUUACAAACUCUACUGGCCAACAGCAAGCAUGUGAUUCAGUACACUGAAGCAGUGGAAGAAAGAAGGAAGCUGUCAGCACUUGAGUUGGUUUUAACUUUUAAGAGCAUAUGCCAACAAAGAGGCCCAGCAGCUGAUUUUGUGGCAAACUAGCAUGUGGAGAUGACUGAGCAAAGAUCAGAGAUUGUAUGUUUUGGGAGAUUAAAACACGCAAUUCUUCUACGCCGCUGUAAAUUGUCACUCCAGAAAAAACAGAAUUACUCCUGAUGAGAGAUGACAUACAGCACUCUGAGAAUUCAGAAAAGCUGACUAUUGCUGCGGAGUUCUUCACAAACUUGUUUGGAAAGGACUCAUCUCUUCCAGUUAUUGAUCCCGCAAAUCUGUAUGGUCAACUCGACAUUAGUAUGUUGGAUGAACCUAUCUCCUGGGCUGAGAUUGUUAAUAUGCUAUCAAUAACCUGGGCCUUCCUUUAUGUACCCAAAAAAAUACGCAUGGCAUGCUAAUGCCAGUAAUUCAGAGUGGACAAAAGACUCUGUGGGUGUCUGGCCAUCUUUCUUUCUUGGGGAGGAAGAUUAAUAUUGAUCAACUCCGUGCUCGGUGCGAUUCCAAAUCAUUUCAUGGCAUGCUUCUUGUGGCCUAAAGAGUCUUUAAAAAAGCUGGAACAAAUCCUGUGAGGUUUUCUUUGGCAAGGAAAGAGUUCUGCAAGUGGAGGACAUUGUUUAGUGGGUUCUGUCAAGUUGCCGAAGGCCAAUGGAGGGCAUUGUUUAGUGGAUGAGGGACCCUGAAGCUCACUGUUGAGGAUAGUAUUUGUGCAUGUAUAUUGUUUUUUGUACAUUAGGCCCACAUCUUUAGUUGUUGUAUAGAUUGAGGUAGAGGCCCCACAUUAUACUUAUAUAUACCGUGUAUAUUGCACCGAAUCAAUACAUCGUGCAAUUCAUACAUCUAAUAUGAUAUCAGUUUUUAGGUUCUAAACCCUAAUCUUCCGCUGGCGCCGUCGCCGCCGUGCGUCAACCGCACCGGCCGCCGCUUUUCCUCUCGCUAAUCACGCACUAGCCGCCGCUAAUCCUGCCAGCCGCCGCUAGCCCGCCCGCCCGCUGCACUGCCUUCCACGCUCUCCAGGUCGUCCCGUCGCUCGCCAGAUCGUCCUAUUCCCUCGUCCUGCCCGCUAGCGACACGCCGCCGCCUCCCGAUCCCACGUCCCGAGGCCACCGCUCGUCCUGCUCGCACUAACACCACGCUACACGCAUCACCAUCGCUGCUGUAGCUCGCAUCGCCUGCCGCGCCACACGCAUCGCCAGGUAGACCAAGCCGCUCACACCGUCCCGUUUCCGCCAUGUCGUCUGUCACUUCCUACGCGUCCACCAACUCCAACCCGUUCGCCGACGCCAACCCCCCUGACGUCAACGACAUCCGCAAGCUUAACAUCUUCGAGCGGGUGCCGGUUCGUCUCUCUCAGGCGGACUCCUCCUACCACUCGUGAAAAACGUAUUUUUUCCUUGUGUUUCGGGAGUAUCAUCUCAUAGAUCACGUGGAUGGCACCGUCGACUCCAGCCUCGUUCCCGAGUUUCAUGACUGGUCCACCAUCGACAUCACAAUCAUCCGCUGGUUUUUCCUCACCAUCACGCCCAACCUCUUCCAGACGGUCGUGACGGACGGUGAUGAUGCCUGCGCCGUGUGGACCAAACUGAACGGGCUCUUCACCGACAACAAGCUCUAGCGUCGCGUUUUUCUGCAGCAAGAGUUCUUUGGGUGUCAUCAGGACAACACCUCCAUCGACGACUAUUGUCGCCGCCUUAAGACUCUCGCCGACGAGCUUCGCGAUAUCGGCGCCAAGGUCGAUGAUGACCUCUUCCUCAGCACGCUCACCGCCGGGCUCAACGAGGACUUCAGCAACGCCGCGGGGAACCUCAGCCUCAUCCCCAACCCGUCCUUCGCCAAGUUCGUUGCAUACCUCCGCCUGCAGGAGCAGCGGAUGCAGAAGGUGAAGACACGCCAUCCACACCGCCCUCGCCGCCGGCACCACUCGCGGCGGGCCUCCGGCGCCUCCUGCUGCCCCGACACCCCAGCAGCGUCAUCAAGCGCCCUUCCCGGCGCCCCAGCAGCCGGGGCUCCUGCCACUGUCGUACGGCCCGCCCGCGCCCCCCGCUCCUCCCGCUGAAAAGCGCCGCGGGGGUCGGCGUGGUGGCCGCCGCGGUGGUCAGCAGCAGCGGCAAUAGUUCCAGGCGCCGCAGCAGCUCCAGGUGCCGCCCCCAUGGGCCUCCGGCUACAACCCCUGGACCGGCAUUGUCCAUGCGUACACCAUGCCAGUUCCACGGGCUCCUGCACCGACGCUUCAUGUGCCGCGCCCACCGGUGCACCAGGCGUAUUACGCGGCUCCGCAACCGUACGGAGGAUACCCACCGCCGCAAAUGAGCGGCGCCUACGGUCUCCCUGCAGCCCUGCCGCCACCCUCGCCGGCCCUACCGCCGGCACCUUGGGAUCCGACGCUCCUCGCUGCACUGCACACCGCGCCUACACCGAACAACUACACUGGAGGCGGUGAUUGGUACAUGGACACUGGGGCUACGGCACACAUGUUUGCUCAUCCUGGUAAUCUUGCCUCCUUCACUUCUGUCACCACCGACCGCCGCAUUAUUGUCGGCGACGGUUCCACACUACCUAUCACAUAUGUCGGGCACACUUCUUUUCCUUCUACUUCUCUACCUAUUACUUUGUCUAACAUACUUGUGUCACCUCAUCUUAUUAAGAAUCUUAUUUCCGUUCGUUGUUUAACUCAUGAAAAUCCUGUUACUGUUGAAUUUGACGAGCUUGGUUUUUGUGUCAAGGACGCUCGAACCAGGAUGGUACUUCACCGAUGUGACAGCUCGACGAGCUCUAUCCGGUGCAUCCGCCGUCCACCUCCACCACCGCACCGGUUGCUCUCUCCGCUGGCGUCGAUCUCUGGCACGCUCGUUUGGGUCACCCCAACCCCGUCACACUUCGUCAUAUUCUUAGGAGUUUCAGUUUCAGUUGUAAUAAGAUAGAGGAUCACACCUGUCAUGCCUGUCGUGUCGGCAAACAUGUUCGCCUUCCGUUUAAUACCUCCACCACCAUAGCUUCUUUUCCUUUUCAGUUGAUUCAUAGCAAUGUGUGGACCUCUCCGGUUCCUAGUAAUUCGAGCUAUUUAUAUUAUCUGGUUAUUCUUGAUGAUUAUUCUCAUUAUGUGUGGACGUUUCCUUUACGACGAAAGUCGGAUGCACUCUCCACUUUGUCGGCCUUUUACUCCUAUGUCAGCAUGCAGUUUGGGCGUCCCAUCCUUGCUCUUCAGACUAACAAUGGAAAAUGUUGGGGAACGUAGCAGAAUUUUAAAAUUUUCUACGCAUCACCAAGAUCAAUCUAUGGAGUCAUCUAGCAACGAGGGAGAGAGGAGUGCAUCUACAUACCCUUGUAGAUCGCGCGCGGAAGCGUUCAAGAGAACGAGGUUGAUGGAGUCGUACUCGACGCGAUUCAAAUCACCGAUGACCUAGUGCCGAACGGACGGCACCUCCGCGUUCAACACACGUACGGUUAGGAAGACGUCUCCUCCUUCUUGAUCCAGCAAGGGGGAAGGAGAGGUUGAUGAAGAUCCAGCAGCACGACGGCGUGGUGAUGGAUGCAGCAGGAUCCCGACAGGGCUUCGCCAAGCGCAAGCGGGGAGGAGAUGUGUUACGGAGGGAGAGGGAGGCGCCAAGAGCAAGGGUGCGGCUGCCCUCCCUCCCUCCUUCUUUAUAUAGGGGCCUUGGGGGGCGCCGACCCUAGGGAGAUGGAUCUCCAAGGGGGCGGCGGCCAAGGGUGGCUCCCCCCCCCCCAAGCCAAGUGGGGGGCGCCCCCACCCCUAGGGUUUCCCAACCCUAGGCGCAGGGCAGGCCCAAGGGGGGGCGCACCAGCCCACUAGGGGCUGGUUCCCCACCCAAUUCAGCCCAUGGGGCCCUCCGGGAUAGGUGGCCCCACCCGGCGGACCCCCGGGACCCUUUCGGUGGUCCCGGUACAAUACCGGUAACCCCCGAAACCUUCCCAAUGGCCAAAAAUUGACUUCCCAUAUAUAAAUCUUUACCUCCGGACCAUUCUGGAACUCCUCGUGACGUCCGGGAUCUCAUCCGGGACUCCGAACAACUUUCGGGUUACUGCAUACUAAUAUCUCUACAACCCUAGCGUCACCGAACCUUAAGUGUGUAGACCCUACGGGUUCGGGAGACAUGCAGACAUGACCGAGAUGCCUCUCCAGUCAAUAACCAAUAGCGGGAUCUGGAUACCCAUGUUGGCUCCCACAUGCUCCAUGAUGAUUUCAUCGGAUGAACCAUGAUGUCGAGGAUUCAAUCAAUCCGUAUACAAUUCCCUUUGUCAAUCGGUACGUUACUUGCCCGAGACUUGAUCGUCGGUAUCCCAAUACCUCGUUCAAUCUCGUUACCGGCAAGUCACUUUACUCGUGCCGUAAUGCAUGAUCCCGUGAUCAACCACUUGGUCACAUUGAGCUCAUUAUGAUGAUGCAUUACCGAGUGGGCCCAGAGAUACCUCUCCAUCAUACGGAAUGACAAAUCCCAGUGUCGAUUCGUGCCAACCCAACAGAUACUUUCGGAGAUACCUGUAAUGUACCUUUAUAGUCACCCAGUUACGUUGUGACGUUUGGCACACCCAAGGCACUCCUACGGUAUCCGGGAGUUGCACAAUCUCAUGGUCUAAGGAAAUGAUACUUGACAUUCGGAAAAGCUACAGCAAACGAACUACACGAUCUUUGAGUUAUGCUUAGGAUUGGGUCUUGUCCAUCACAUUAUUCUCCUAAUGAUGUGAUCCCGUUAUCAAUGAAAUCCAAUGUCCAUAGUCAGGAAACCAUGACUAUCUUUUGGUCAACGAGCUAGUCAACUAGAGGCUCACUAGGGACGUGUUGUGGUCUAUGUAUUCAGACAUGUAUUACGAUUUCCGGAUAACACAAUUAUAGCAUGAACAAUGGACAAUUAUCAUGAACAAAGAAAUAUAAUAAUAACCAUUUUAUUAUUGCCUCUAGGGCAUAUUUCCAACAGAAAAGAGUUCGACAAUCUUGCUUUCCGCACUUUUCUGUCGCAGCACGGCACAGUUUUUCGUCUCACAUGCCCGUAUACUUCACAGCAGAAUGGUCGAGCCGAACGCGUCCUUCGCACUCUGAACGACUGCGUUUGGACGCUCCUGUUCCAUGCUAAUGUGCCGCCUCGUUUCUGGCCGGAUGCACUCGCUACUGCUUCACUUCUUCUUAACCUUCGCCCUUGCCGCCCAUGGUGGAACUAUGCACCUCACCAUCUUCUCUUCGGUACGCCUCCAUCUUACGAUGACUUGCGUGUUUUUGGGUGCCUUUGCUAUCCUAGCACUGUGGACUCCGCUCCUCACAAACUCGCACCUCGUUCUGUCGCUUGCAUCUUCAUCGGCUACCCUUCCAACUCCAAGGGAUAUCGGUGCUAUGAUCCCGUCUCCCAUCGUGUGUUCACUUCCCGACACGUUUACUUUGAUGAGCAUGUGUUUCUGUUUCAGCAGGUACCUCCGGCUGUUCCUCCCGUCACUGGUGACGCGGGCUCCUCGACGCCGCUCCCAGGGCGCUUGCGCGCUUCUCUUGGCCCGCCCCCUGGCUUUGAGGCGCGUCCUCCACAUGCGACGCCUCCUACAGCCGCGGUCCUGGCCCCUGCGGCCUCCACGGCCCCCGCGGCGCCCCCGGCCCCCAUGCCCCCCUUGGCGCCACCCUCGGCGCCCCCGGCCUCCUCAGCGCUCCCGGCGCCCCUGGCCCCGGCGCCCCCCUCAGCGCCUUCGGCCUCGGCGCCCCCGGCGCCCGCGCCUCCGGCACCGAUGGCCGGUCCGGUCACCCGUGCCCGUACAGGCGUUUUUCGCCCGAGCUCGCGCUACGCCGCGGAUGACUACGUCCAUGUGGCGUCCACCUUUGAGCCGUCGCUGUUGCCUUCCUCCGUCCGAGCCGCUCUUCGUGACCCGCUCUGGAUGGCUGCGAUGCAAGAGAAGUUUGACGCCCUGUUGCGCAACCGGACGUGGCAGCUUGUUCCCCGUCCCCGGCACGCCAACGUGAUUACCGGGAAGUGGGUCUUCAAACACAAGCUCCGUCCCGAUGGUACCCUUGAUCGCUAUAAAGCGCACUGGGUCGUUCGUGGAUUCCGACAGCGUGCUGCAUCGACUUCACCGACACCUUCGAUCCGGUCGUCAAGCCCAACACGAUACGCACGGUUCUCCACCUUGCGGUCUCCCGUGCUUGGCCGGUGCACCAGAUGGGCGUCUCAAACGCCUUCCUUCAUGUCCACCUCGAGGAGCAGGUCUUCUGCCAGCAGCCCACCGGGUUUGUUGAUCCGGCACUUCCCGACCAUGUGUGCCUGCUUUCGCGGUCCUUGUAUGGACUCAAGCAGGCUCCGCACUCUUGGUACCAGCGCAUCGCGGCGUUUCUUCAUCAGCUUGGGUUCCGCUCCACUCGCUCGGACACAUCGCUCUUCGUUUAUCACCAGGGCUCCGACACGGCCUACUUGCUGCUAUAUGUCGAUGACAUCAUCUUGACGCCAUGUACAACCGGCCUUCUCAGUCAGCUCACGGCUCGUCUUUGCGCUGAGUUCGCCAUCAAGGACUUGGGUCCUCUGCACUACUUCCUCGGUGUUGAGGUGGUGCGCCGUCCGGAUGGCUUCCUUCUUCAUCAGCGGAAGUACGCUCAUGAGCUCCUAGAGCGCGCUGGCAUGCUUAACUGCAAGCCCGCCGCCACGCCUGUUGAUACGAAGGCCAAGCUCUCUGCCAUGGAUGGUUCCCCUGCUUCGGAUGCUGCUUUCUAUCGGUCUAUUGUUGGUGCUCUUCAGUACCUCACUUUGACUCGACCAGAGAUCCAGUAUGCAGUGCAGCAGGUGUGUCUUCAUAUGCAUGCUCCUCGGGAUGUUCACUGGGCCGCUGUCAAGCGGAUUCUCCGCUACGUUUGUGGCACUAUGGAUUUUGGAGUCACGCUUCACGCCUCCACCGACACCGCCCUCACAGCCUACUCCGAUGCAGACUGGGCGGGCUGCCCUGACACACGUCGCUCCACCUCGGGCUAUUGUGUCUACCUUGGACCCUCACUUAUCUCGUGGUCGUCCAAGCGGCAGCCUACAGUCUCUCGCUCCAGUGCUGAGGCUGAGUAUCGUGCGGUGGCCAACGCCGUCGCUGAGUGUUCCUGGCUUCGUCAGCUGCUUCAUGAGUUGUCUUGCUCUGUUGACCGUGCCGCGGUGGUCUACUGCGAUAACGUCUCGGCGGUCUACCUCUCCGCUAACCCGGUGCAUCAUCGACGGACCAAGCAUAUUGAGUUGGAUAUUCAUUUUGUUCGGGUACAGGUGGCUCUUGGUCAUAUUCGUGUUUUACACGUCCCUACUUCCCAACAAUUUGCAGAUAUCAUGACCAAGGGCUUGCCUACGGCGUCAUUUGAGGAGUUCCGGUCCAGUCUUUGCGUCAGCCGCGGUGCCGCUUCGACUGCGGAGGGGGAGGGGGGAGGGGGUGUUGAGGAUAGUAUUUGUGCAUGUAUAUUGUCUUUUGUACAUUAGGCCCACCUCUCUAGUUGUUGUAUAGAUUGAGGUAGAGACCCCACAUUGUACUUACAUAUACCAUGCAUAUUGCACCGAAUCAAUACAUCGUGUAAUUCAUACAUCUAAUACUCACAACGUCUCCAUUAUCUGUAAGUUCGCAGCAAAGAUUCUGCAGCACAGCGACGCGCCUUGCUAUAAUCGGUUUGCGAGUUUUCGCUGUCUACGUACAAUACCCGUGGAUAAUCAGAAUGGUGAUACAGCAAUCUGGAAAUGCCUAAAAACUUCCUUUCGGCUGGGUCAACCACGUGUGAGCUUGGCAAUGGCACCCACAUUUCCUUCUGGUUUGACAAAUGGGUUGGGAGCGAAAUCUCCUUCCCAACACUAUUCUCUUCCGCUAAGAACUAAAUUUUGCACGAUGGCAUCUCAGUUCCAAGGAGGGCACUGGGAAAUACAACCGCAUCCAAACCUUUGUGCUUCGGCCCCGAGGGAGCUUGAGGCGCUGAUGGAGUUGCUCAACGGCAUUGAGCCACAUGACACUGAAGUUGGCCUUUGGGCAUCGGCCAAAUCUUCCCAGGGACUCCAUGAUCUAUUUCUCUCUGCCGCGGCUUGCACCUUGUUUGGUGCUCGCGCGGUUUCUUUAUGGACGGCCCGGAACGCGCUAGUGUGUUUGAGACCGCGGCUCGAAUGCUAUCUGAAUUGGCUGAACUUGUCAAGCUUUGGAGCUCGCGUGCUGCCCGAGAGGAAGACAGGCAUGCCAUGAUGUCUUGGGUUGAUUCUCUGAGAUAGAUUGUUACGCUGAUCUUCUCCCACACUCUGCACCCAACCUUGUUUUUUCUUUUCGUUGUUAUCGCUCUUGUAAAGCUUUUUGUCUUACGGUUUGGUGAUAACCGGCCACACACUUUAUGUGUGUUAAUAUCACCUUCAUGUCAGUUCAAAAAAAAAAAUCACCUUCAUGUAAUUGACUUCGGUCAUCCAGGCUCACCCAAUGUUUUGAAUGCAUAAGUUACGCGAUGUAACACCUAUGCUGCAUAUAUAUUUUUAAUUUUUUUUAGAAAUGGAGGAGGACCCCCGGCCUCUGCAUCUAAACGAUGCAUGGAGUCACUUUAUUAAUUAUUCACACAAGACCUGCAAAGUCAUACAACAGUAAAUUAAAGCCACCAUCUAUGCAACAUCUGUCGCUACUUCUAUCCAGUUAAUGAAGGGAUGCUAAUAGUCUGGACCUAAUACCAAACAGACCUCACAGCCAAACCUAACAUCUAAGACCUGAGGUCCCAACCAGGACGCAUGCCGGAUAUGGGGCACCCACCAGUCCGGCGCACUCCUCAACCAGGACGCCUGCCGGGCAUGAGGUCUCCGUAGCCACCUGCCAUCAAUCCAUCUUUAGUGUUGUGCUGCUGCAUCUACCUUGCUUGGUCUAGCUGCCGUCGACGCCGGACAACGCCAUCAUCCUACGCUCGUCCAUCAUCACAUGCUCACCGACGAGACCCCGCUGCUCCAUGCCGCUGAGACCCGCCGUUGUCGACGUGUCAGAUGCCACGCCGCUCCUCUUCUUGUCCCCUCCAACCAGCACUUGCUCCAAAACGAUGCCCCCAAGAGGGAGAACGACAUCGAAAACAUCGUCAUCGUCCGAUCCGGUAGACCCAGAUCUGGGGUUUCCCCAGGAACCUCCCGAUCAGGUUAACGUGACCUGCAACGACGAUGCCUCGAGAAGGGAACGACGUCCGAGACGCCGCCAUCGUCCGCCAUGACCGCAGUCAGGCGUGAUUUUCACCGGAAGCCACGUCGUCCCGAUCUUGCGGCUGGUUGGAACUGAGUGGAGCCUCUCCACGAAGACGAACGCCGUUGUCGGUAAUCCGGCGGAGAUCCGUCAUCUCCUCACCUGUCCCUCCACGCGCCGUCGGUCGGCGGAAGGCCAUCCCGCGGCGGAUCCGAUCGGGGCGUUGGAUCCGCAGUCACCGCCGUCACCAUCUCCGCACAGAUCAGCCACCCCGCCGGAUGGGGCCUGCCACCGCCGCCGUCCAUCGCAGGGCCGCCGCUCCGCCGGCUUAUGGCGCUUCGGCCACCGCCGCACGGCAUCGGUUCGCCGCCCCAGCCGCUGCCUUCGGAUCCCAUGAGAGGAGCCGCCCCUGCCGCCUUAGAUGAGAUCUCGUCGCAUCCACCCGCCCAGGUGCCUUCGGCACCGGGCCGCCACCACCGCGGCCCACACCGGCGGCAGAAGGAGAGGGAGGGGGAGGCCUGCGGUGCUAGGGUUUGGGAACCCCUGGCGUCGCCCAGGGGGAGGCGACGUGAGGGGGAGUUCCUAAAGUUUGUGAGAAAGCCCUAUGCUGCAUAAUGAAUGUCGACCGCCUAAAAAAGGGACGCAUGUAAAAGAAUUAACCCGCUUUCAACUUUCAAGAGAAAUAAACAAUUCAAUGAUAAAAUAAUAAUACUAGUCUAUUAUGGUUCGGGAGGAGGUAGCAGGAUCCACUCAAACACUAAAGUGAAAGUGUGUUGAAUCAAGAGUAGAUAGUAAGCACCUUUAUUAUGAUCGUUUCAUUUGAAAUAAUUGAGCACGGGCUUAUCUGGUCAAAACGUAUCUUGUCUUUAUCACUUUGUCAUGAGUUAUUUUCCUUGGUUAAUGAUACUUGUUGUUUUGAAGAUAUUUGCAGGUUCAUUAAUUUUCUUUCUACCUCAUAAGGGAAGCGAUCUACCUUUUUAUUCAGAAAAAAACAAGAGAUCGCAUAAGGAUUCGUGUGCAAUGACAAGCUUGUUAUGAAAUAUUCCAUGAAGUACAUGCGAGCCCACGACGGUUCCCUGAGUUUGUUCCCCUCUCCGAUCCCAGCAGGAAACCCGGACGCGGAUUUUUAGAGCUUAGGCUCAUGGACACCUUCUAUCCAUACCAUCUAGUAUAGCAUUGAGAUCCGUGCUAGACAACUAACUUACUGCGUGAAUUUUUCUCUUUUUUGUUGCUUCCAAAUAAAACAACAUAUGAACUUCAAACUUUGCAAGAUAGCAAAACAUUCUUACUACAAUGAGAGAAAAAACUUACAGAUUUUUUUGACCAACAUAAAUAUACAAAACAAGAUUUUCUUUAUUCAAAAAUGUUAUUUUUAGUACUUAUGAUGCACAAAAAAAUCUGAAAGUUUUUUCCCAUAGUCUAGUUAGAAUGUUUUGUUGUGCUGCAAAGUUUGAAGUUCAUAUGUUAUUUUAUUUGGAAGAAACAAAAAAGAGAAAAGUUCUUGCACGAAUCGCGAUGUAGAAAUGGAUGGCUAGAUAAGGGGGUGCACCUAAGCCUAAGCUCUACAGAAUAUUUUCCCAGGAAAUGGAUGCGGAUUUUUAGAGUUUAGACUCAUGGACACCUCCUAUCCAUACCAUCCAGUAUAGCUUUGAGAUCCGUGCUAGACAACUAACUUACUGCGUGAAAUUUUCUCUUUUUUGUUGCUUCCAAAUAAAACAACAUAUGAACUUCAAACUUUGCAAGAUAGCAAAACCCCCCUCCCGAUUCCGGCUAGAAUUACAAUCUACCAUCACAAUUUAGGAUUUUACUCUAGAAAAGCAAUCCUCUUCUCUUUAUAUAGUCGGACAACCGCCUUAAUUAGCUAGCUUGAGAAGAGAGGAAGAUCUAUGCACAUGUAGGAGGAGGAGGGCGCGGGCGCAACUAGGUUUCACGACGACGAAGACCGCUUAGAAGAGUACGACAACGUGAAGGAGCGCGCCAUCUUCGGCGCCUCGCUGACACCGCAGGCGCUGCCCCUCUUCAACGAUACUCCUCCGAGCUGGGUCCUCCUCGACGUCUCUGCCUACAUAGCUGACACCGGCGAUGACGCCGCCGACACCAUCGCCAUGCCAUAGAGGCCACCAUGGUCGCCGCCCGCCCGCCGCUGGUCUCCCACAUCCGCGUCAACUGCCCGGGCCUCAAGCCCACGCGCUUCACCACUGAGCCCAAGGUCUUCGCCGCGGCGGACGGCCUCUUCUUGCUCGGCGUCGUCGUCGGCCACCAGUCCCUGUGCACCCAGCCGGACAUGUUCGACUACUUCGUCUACCAGCCCGUCGCGCGUUCGCUCACGCUUCUCCCGCACCCUCAUGGUUGCUUCGGUCUCAGGGACGUGGCCCUCCUGCGCUGCAGCCCGAACAACUCCUCAUACAUCAUCGCGUUCCUCAAGGGCACACAGGGUGUUAGACUUCGUAUUGUAGCCCUACUGUGUAAACCAUACCUUAUUGGUAUUGGACUUGUAUGUCAUCAUUAUAUAUAUGUGAUAGGCCACCCCUUUGAGGGUUGAGCCAGUUCCCCCAAAACCUAUGUUUUACAUGGUAUCAGAGCCUGCUCGCCUGGCUUCAGCUCUACGCACUCAUGGGUUCAUUCCUUCGACGGCUGAUACUUCACUGUUUUUGUUUCAGCGCCCGAGUGUGACCAAGUACCUUCUUGUGUAUGUGGAUGAUAUUGUCCUGGUGAGCUCAUCUCCGACGGCUGCUGAUGCUCUUGUGACUGCACUUGGUCGUGAUUUUGCAGUUAAGGAUUUGGGACAACUUCAUUUCUUCCUGGGUAUUGAGGUCGCUCAUCAGUCUCGUGGCAGUUUGGCUCUCACCCAGAAGAAGUACUCUCUUGAUCUCUUGCGCCGUGCUGGUAUGCUCAAGUGCAAGCCAUCGCCUGCGCCCAUGUCCUCCACUGACACCCUUUCUGCUCCUGAUGGUGUUCUUCUCUCUCCUGAGGAUGCUACUGAGUACAGGAGUAUUGUUGGUGGCUUGCAGUAUCUGACGAUCACACGUCCUGAUCUCUCCUUUGCAGUUAACAGGGUGUGCCAGUAUCUUCAUGCUCCUACUGAUGUACACUGGUCUGCUGUGAAGCGCAUACUGCGUUAUGUGCGUCUCACUGUCUCCUUUGGUCUUCACCUGCGCCCCAGUUCCUCCGGAGUUCUUUCUGCAUUCUCUGAUGCUGAUUGGGCUGGGUGUCCAGAUGAUAGGCGAUCCACCGGGGGGGGGGGAUGCUGUGUUCUUGGGUCCUAAUCUGAUCGCUUGGAGUGCACACAAUCAAUCCACUGUUUCCCGCAGCAGCACAGAAGCUGAGUACAAGUCGGUUGCCAAUGCGACUGCCGAACUUAUAUGGAUUGAGUCCCUACUUCGAGAGCUAGGAGUUGCUCAGCCACAUCCUUCGGUCCUUUGGUGUGACAACAUCAGUGCUACGUUUCUGUCAUCAAACCCGGUGUUCCAUGAACAGACUAAACACACUGAGAUUGACUAUCAUUUGUGAGGGAACGCGUUGCACAGAAGCUACUACAAGUCAGGUUUAUCUCUUCAAAAGAUUAACUGGCAGACAUCUUCACCAAGGCUCUACCUUCUCCCAUGUUUGAGGUCUGUAGGCGCAAUCUCAACCUCCUAGAUACUUCAGGAGUGAGUUGAGAUUGAGGGAGGGUAUUAGACUUCGUAUUAUAGUCCUACUGUGUAAACCAUACCUUAUUGGUAUUGAACUUGAAUGUCAUCAUUAUAUAUAUGUGAUAGGUCACCCAUUUGAGAGUUGAGCCAGUUCUCCCAAAAUCUACAUUUUACACGGGACAUGGCGUAUAAGCUCCACCGCUUCCACUCCAAGAGCAACACCUGGACCAUGAGCAAGCUGGAGCUUGGUGCCACUGCCGUGAACCCUGCCCUGGACUCCGUCUUCUUCUGUAUCAGCAAGGUGUUCACUCUCGGCGGCGGCGGUGGUUUCGUGGGCUGGGCCGACCUCUGGCGCGGCAUCCUGCUCUGCGACGUGCUCCUCGACGACCCGGAGCUCCGCCACGUCCCCUUGCCGCAUGCCUUCAGUGAGCGCAAGUGGGACGCCGUCAUAACCAGGGACAUCGCCGUUGUCGACCAAGGUUGCAUCAAGUAUGUCGACAAGCGGUCUGACGAACACUCCGGUGGUGGCCGGACACUCACCGCGUGGAGCAAGAAGAUCGUCAGCAGACAGCCGUGGAAGGAGGAACAAUGGCGCCAGGGCUGCGAGUUGAGAUCUUCCGAUGUCUCUGUCCUCUUGCCGCCAUUGCCGAGGCCCUUCCAUAUGCUCAUGACAGGCCACCCUGUUAUAAGCUUGCGGGGCGACGACGUCGUCUACUUGAUGAGCAAGGAGAGCCUCAGGGACGACACGGCGUGGGUGGUCGCCGUCGACAUGAGGAGCAAGUCGUUGCAGGAAGCGGUUGAGCUUGGCGGUGCCGCGAGAUCAAUAGGCAUAAGCCGCACCUAUAUACAAAGCAGGAUGGAUCUCUGGUCAUCCGAAGAUCAUCCCAGGUAAUUCUACCUUGAAUCUGCUGGGCUUCUCUUAUCUGCACAAAUCCGACAAUUCGGUCGGUUGGCUCAUUUUAGUAGUUUUAGAACAUUUUGGAAGAUAUCUGAAUGGUGGUGUAAUUGAUCACUGCGUAUUUAGGGGGUGGAAAAUCAUCCAUGAAUUUUAGCUUUUUUGUAAGAAGGCAGUUCGGAUGUUGUGUGAGACUGAGGUUAUAUACAUGGGCAUCAGACACUGUUCAAUGUUCUUGUUAUCACGUUCUGCCUUUUUUUCUCUUCCAGUAAGUCUAUCAUAUCAUUAAAAAAUGGCACACCUACGUGCAACUUAAAUCCCCAACUAAUGGCCAACAAAAACCUGCCAAAUCAGCUCAUAUGUAAGAUAUAGUAUUGCUCCAUAUCAUUUGACACUGGCCAGUGUGUCUCAAAAAAAAAGAAACACUGACCAGUAUGUCUAAAAAAGUAGCACUGGCUAGUGAGCUAACGAGAAGAUGCUGCAAUGGGAACAUUUCGAAAUGAUUUGAGUUGUAUUACAAAAUUCCAAAAAAAAGGUAAGUAUGGCAGACUCCAAGCACAGCAGAAGUAACCUUCUUUAGGUCAUUGAUCAGGACACGUGAGGUGAUGCAAAUUCAAAAACAAUUCGUGAUUUUUUUAGAAUUAUUCAUUAAUUAAAAAAAUGUUCAUGAAUUCAAAAAUAGAGAAAUAUGCAAAUUGAAACACAUGAAUUAAAAAAUGUUCAUAAAUUUGAAAAACCUGUUCAUGAAUUCAAAAAACAUUUGCAAAUUGCAAAAAGUGUUUGUGAAGUAAAAAACAAAUCAUGAAAUUUAACAUAUUCAAGAAUUCAAAAAAGUACUUAUGAAUUCAAAAAGCAUUCACAAAUUGAUAAAUGUUCAUGAUAUUAAAAUUGAUUGUGAAUUGUAAAAAUAUUCAUGAAUCUUUUUUUAUCAACUUUAAAAUGUUCAAUGGGGAGAAUGAGAGUUCUACCAUUGAACUGAAUGACUCCUUUGAUGAGACCAGCAUGCGUUUUGUGCGGCGCAUCCAGGAGUCUGAGGUGAAAGAGGCUUUAAAAAGGAUGAAAUGAGGCAAGGCGAUGGGCCCUGAUUGUAUCCCCAUUGAGGUGUGGAAAGGUCUCGGGGACAUAGCGAUAGUAUGGCUAACCAAGCUUUUCAACCUUAUUUUUCGGGCAAACAAGAUGCCAGAAGAAUGGAGACGGAGUAUAUUAGUACCAAUCUUCAAGAACAAAGGGGAUGUUCAGAGUUGUACUAAUUACUGUGGAAUUAAGCUGAUGAGCCAUACAAUGAAGCUAUGGGAGAGAGUCAUUGAGCACCGCUUAAGAAGAAUGACAAGCGUGACCAAAAAUCAGUUUGGUUUCAUGCCUGGGAGGUCGACCAUGGAAUCCAUUUUCUUGGUACGACAACUUAUGGAGAGAUAUAGGGAGCAUAAGAAGGACUUGCAUAUGGUGUUCAUUGACUUGGAGAAGGCCUAUGGUAAGAUACCGCGGAAUGUCAUGUGGUGGGCCUUGGAGAAACACAAAGUCCCAGCAAAGUACAUUACCCUCAUCAAGGACAUGUACAAUAAUGUUGUGACAAGUGUUCGAACAAGUGAUGUCGACACCGAUGACUUCCCGAUUAAGAUAGGACUGCAUCAGGGGUCAGCUUUGAGCCCUUAUCUUUUUGCAUUGGUGAUGGAUGAGGUCACAAGGGGUAUACAAGGAGAUAUCCCAUGGUGUAUGCUCUUUGCGGAUGAUGUGGUGCUAGUUGACGAUAGUCGGACGGGGGUAAAUAGGAAGUUAGAGUUAUGGAGACAAACCUUGGAAUCGAAAGGGUUUAGGCUUAGUAGAACUAAAACCGAGUACAUGAUGUGCGGUUUCAGUACUACUAGCUGUGAUGAGGAGGAGGUUAGCCUUGAUGGUCAGGUGGUACCUCGGAAGGACACCUUUCGGUAUUUGGGGUCAAUGUUGCAGGAGGAUGGGGGUAUUGAUGAAGAUGUGAACCAUCGAAUCAAAGACGGAUGGAUGAAGUGGCGCCAAGCUUCUGGCAUUCUCUGUGACAAGAGAGUCCCACAAAAGCUAAAAGACAAGUUCUACAGGACGGCGGUUCGACCCGCAAUGUUGUAUGGCGCGGAGUGUUGGCCGACUAAAAGGCGACAUGUUCAACAGUUAGGUGUGGCGGAGAUGCGUAUGUUGAGAUGGAUGUGUGGCCACACGAGGAAGGAUCGAGUCCGGAAUGAUGAUAUACGAGAUAGAGUUGGGGUAGCACCAAUUGAGGAGAAGCUUGUCCAACAUCGUUUGAGAUGGUUUGGGCAUAUUCAGCGCAGGCCUCCAGAAGCUCCAGUGCAUAGCGGACGGCUAAAGCGUGCGGAGAAUGUCAAGAGAGGGCGGGGUCGACCGAUUUUGACAUGGGAGGAGUCCGUUAAGAGAGACCUGAAGGAUUGGAGUAUCGACAAAGAGCUAGCUAUGGACAGGGGUGCGUGGAAGCUUGCUAUCCAUGUGCCAGAGCCAUGAGUUGGUUGCGAGAUCUUAUGGGUUUCACCUCUAGCCUACCCCAACUUGUUUGGAACUAAAAGCUUUGUUGUUGUUUUGUUGUUGUUGUUUAAAAUGUUCACGAACUUUAAAAAAAUCGUUAGCCCAUUUUAUUUGUAAUUUGCUAUCUAGCUAAGGCGGAUGCGUAGUUCCGUCAUAUGACCUUUGAUUCUUGACGAGUUCAAACAAGCCAUCGAUAGCUAGGAUCUCAAAGAGGUCACCCUUCUUCUUGUUCAUAAAACCUAUUCUUGUUUGAAACUUUUUUUCUUCACUUCCUGGAGCAUGGGGUGUGGCAAGCCACACAUCCAAGGGGGCAUGGCCGCAUGGGGUGUGCUAGCUAUUAAUAGCCAAAACACACUUACAUGUAGUGUCGGAAGCCAAUAUGUAGAACACGAACCAUGGAAUGAUUAACAAUAGCGAUAACAUAAUCAUGAAAAAUAUCAUCAAGAAAUAUGAUAUGUUUAGGAGAGCAAAAACAGGCUGAACAAUCCCUGCCACAUAGCCGAAUGGAUGGUGUGUUAUUGCUUCCGUAGCCAAAUGGAUAAUGUGCUAUAGCCUAUAGGGAGCAAUAGCCAACUGAGAAGUUACAUCGGCAACACGUUUUAGACCAAAAAAAUCAAUUUUUAGACAAUCUCCUCUCAAGCAGUCGACUGACCCAGUUCCCUCUCCCAUGGCAGUGCGCGAGGCAUCCCACACCGGCGACGACCUCCUCUCAGCCGCUCAUCUCUCCAUGAUCCCGGGAUCCGCCACCAGCCGCUCGUCUCCUUCCCCUUUCUAUCGUAUGCUCUCUCACCGGGGCAAUUACUGCUUUCCAAUUUGUUAUAAGACUGUUAGUCUACGUUUGUUCACGUCCAUCAAAUAAAAGUUUUUCAUCUAGUUUCUAGAGAGCAUUUUUUUUGGGUUUUCCUGUUUUAAUCUGGUUUGUGAGAAAAAACAUAAAUCUUUAAAAUGUUAAUUUUUUUGAAAUAUACUUGUGAAUUUAAAAUAUGUUCACUAAUUCAAAACAUGUUUGUGAAUUUGAAAAGACGUUCGUGAAAAAAAUUCAUUGGUUUGGAAAAAGGUUUGUGAAUUCCAAAAAAAUUGUGAAUUUUAAAAAAUGUUCAUGAAUCUAAAAAAUGUUCAUGAGUUCAAAAAUUGUAUGCAAAUUUGAAAAAUUGUUCAUGGAUAAAAAAUCAUGAAUUUGAAAAGCAUGUUUAUUAAUUCAUUUUUUGCAAAUUGGAAAAUUAUACCGAAUUUGAUUUUUAUUUUACACAUUUUAAAUUAUUCAUAAAAUUUAAAAAAUGUUUGCAGGGCUAUAAAAUGUUCAUUAAUUGAAAAUUAUUUGCAAAUUUUAAAAAAUAUUAUUGUUAAAUAUUCAUGGACCUGAUUUUUAAAUAAAAUUUAUCAUCAUUAUAAAAUGAUAUGGAAUUUGAAAAACGUGAAUUUCAAAUGUUGUAGUUUUCCAGAAAAAUCAUGCAUUUUAUAAAUAAUGCUAGAAAAAUAAAGGAAAUUGUGAAAAUGCAAAAAAAUAGAAAAUAGAAAUAGAAAAUUGAUUGAAUAAAAUGGGAAAGCAAUGGAAACAUAAAGAAUGAAAGAAAACCUGCCCUGGAAGCUUCCGAGAACAGGACGGAAGCUUCAGGAACCACCUGCCUAGAAUUGUACCUGACUGUAAACCACUGUGGAGAGCAGUUAAAUGGGCGGUGCACUUCGGGAUUUUGGAGGCUGUAGGUCGCAGGACGGUCACAGAGAAUGAUAUAUAGCAUUGGCCUUUGGUGGUGUCGCUUCUCGAGUACCCGGUCUCGAGCUCCGAGGUGAAAACAUAGGUCUGGCCCAAGUUGGUUUUUGCGCCGUUACCUUAUUGAAAGCAUUGCUCGGAUAUGUUUGCACUAGUUUUUCAGGAUGAAAACCUAGAUUCUGGCCUUUGGUGGUUGCAUCUAGUGACGACGACCCUCCCUUCCUAAAGGCGUUGCUAUUGAAGAAUCCCAUCGUCCUUAUGUUGUCAUGAGAUAAUUGAUGCGAAUAUGAGGGUUUUUGUAGUUUUUUGACCGAGGAUUUGAUCGCUUCGAGGUUUUCUCUCUUGCCUAGGUAUAACUUUGGUCUUAUAAUACUUUGCUAUUUGCCGAUGUUUUUUUUGUGUGUGUAGGUGUUGGUUGUGUGCAUCCUAUCUAUGCAUACGUAGGAUGUGUGCUCAUUUUGUUUGUAUCUUGGUGCUGCAUUUCGUGUAAAUUAAAUUCAUCCUUUGUCAAAAAAAAUACCGCUGACUGUUUAUUCCCCUCUUAAACCUUUCCCAAUUUUAUUUCUAAGAAAUUAAACCUUUCACAGUAAAAAACGCGGUAUAGCAGCGCCUCGGAUGGGCAACCUGCUAGGAGCUCCUAUCUGACAAUAACUGCGGUAAAAUGUCGAGGGAACACACAGGCGGGUCUCCCCGACUCAUCUAGUGACGACGACCCUCCCUUCUUGAAGGCGUUGCUAUUAAAGAAUCCCGUUGUUCUUAUGGUGUCAUGAGAUAAUUGAUGCGGAUAUGGGGGUUUCUGUAGUAUGUUGACUAAGGAUUUGAUCGCUUCGAGGUUUUCUCUCUUGCCUAGGUAUAACUUUGGUCUUAUAAUACUUUGCUAUUUGUCGGUAUCUUUUAUGUAUGUAGGUGUUGGUUGUGUGCAUCCUAUCUAUGCAUAGGUAGAAUGUGUGCUCAUUUUGUUUGUAUCUUAGUGCUGCAUUUCGUGUAAAUGAAAUUCAUCCUUUGUCAACUUUUUUUACCGCUGGCUGUUUAUUCCCCUCUUAAACCUUUCCCAAUUUUAUUUCUAAGAAAUUAAACCUUUCCCAGUAAAAAAUGCGGUAUAGCAGCGCCUCGGAUGGGCAAACUGCUAGGAGCUCCUAUCUGCCGCUAACUGCGGUAAAUUGUCGAGGGAACACACAGGCGGGUCUCCCCGACUGGGCCGGCCCAUGUGGCUCUCCCAUUCCGGCUAGCGAAGAAAGUACAACACUCGCUCGCAAAACAGAAUGCGCCAAGCAGGAUUCGAAAACAAGACCACGUGCUUCACAAGUAGUACUCCUUCCUCUUGAGCUAGCAAGCUAGGUGUUUUAAUGGGCAGCACAAAUACUUCGGAACAAAGCCAAGCACGCAUACGAACGUUUUUCAAAUGUUGAACGCAAAAUAUUAUUUUGGAGAAAAAGUGAAUUCUAUAUGAAACCGCGAACACUUUCUGAAAUUGUCUAUAUUUGAAAAAACUCAAACAUUUCGAAAAACACAAACAAUUUCUGGAAAUGGAAACAAUUUUUAAACUGCCCCCCAAAAAUUGAAAAUACGAACAUUUUUUAGAAAACUAGAAUUUUUUUGAAUGGCAAAGCAGUUUGUGGAUACGCAAAAAAUUUUAAAAAUGGGAACUUUUUUUGAAUCUCCCAAAAAAAAUUUUGAAAACAUCAACAUGUUUUUAAACUCCAGAACAAAAUUCAUAGCACAAAUUUAUUUUUAAAAUUGCAAACAAUUUUUGAAAUCCCAAAACAAAAUUUGAAAAUAUGAACAUUACUUAACAAACCAUGAACAUUUUUUAAACUCCCAAACAAAAUUUGAAAACCCAAAUAUUAUUAUAUAUUUUAGAUUUUCAUAAUACUGAACAAAAUUUGAGAAGUUGUGAAAUUUUGAACAAAUUUUGAAUUUCUGAACAAUUUUUCAAAAGCACGAAUUUUUGAAUGUUUGAAUACAAAUUGAAAAUGGAAACAUUUUUUAAAUUGUUGAACAAAUGAUGAUAAAUCAAGCAUUUUUUGAAAUUUAAGAACAUUUUUCCCAAAAAUACCAAAAAAGUACAAGAAAAAAGAGAGAAAAGAAUAAACAAACAGGUAAAAAGAAAGAAAGAAAAAAAGGUUAAGGAACCUAAUAGAAGGUUCCCAAAACCGGGAAAAACUGGCUGGAACCUUCCAGCAGGUUCCGGAAACCGGGAUCGAUGGAACGCUUCUAAUGGGCCGGCCCGUCUCGUUCGAUCGCUAAGAAAGAGUGUGCGGUACCCCGACACUUUGAUGCAGAGUGUGUCGUAUAGGAUUUGGUAAAUGUUUGGGCGCGGUGUGCCGGCCGAACUUUCAAACGACUCGCACACCACGCUGGCGCAACGCGCAAUACGUAGUGGCCUCGCGCGACCCGCCUCCUUUCCUAUGCGCCUCCAUCCCCAACCUCCAGCCUACACGUGCGCGCAUCCCCUUUCCCUCCUUCCGGGAUGUGACUGGGCCACCACGAGCUCCAUCGCUGCCCCGCCGGCCGCCAUGGCUGCUUGUCGCCAUGGGCAGAUCGAUCCUCUACCUACAGCCUUCACGCGCGCGCAUCCCCUUCCCCUCCCCCGGGCUGUGACUGGACCACCACAAGCUCCAUCGCCGGCGGCCAAGCGCUCCCUCAUUGGCCGCCAUGGCUGCCUGCCGCCAUGGCCAGACCCAUCCCCUACCUACAGCCUUCACGCGCGCGCAUCCCCUCCCCCCUCCGCAUGGACUGCGACUGGACCACCACGAGCUCCAUCGCCGGUGGCCAGGCGCUCCCUUGCCGGCCGCCAUGGCCGGAUCCACCCUGCGCAUACAAGUGUUGCAACCGUCACCUAGAAUAGUUUCAACAACUGUUGAAAAAAGCUUCAACCAUAGACACAGAAAGCUUCAAUGGCACUGCACAACAAGAGGAAGCUGCAACCAUAGUUGGAUUUUGCUACUAUCGGCGAUUUUUUUGCUACAUCCAUCAGGCAGAGCUGCGACUUCGUGACGACUACAGCAGCGAUUUUGCUGCAACCGUAGUAGGAUUUUGCUACUACCAUUGAAGGUUUUUGCUACAUCCAUUUAAGGCGGAGCUGUGACCUCAUGAGGGCGGCGACGACGUUUUUGCUGAACCCAUAGUUUGAUUUUGCUACUACCGGUGAAGUUUUUUUGCUACAUCCAUUCAAAUGGCGUUGAUUGACUGGCGACCGUCGUCGACGUAAUUCCCUGCAGCGAGCAUCAAUGGCGAGGGGCGGCGGCAGAGCUACAACCGAGAGCAACAACCGUCGCCGUCAAGAGCUGCAACUGCAAGUGGACCUGUUGCAUGGGUCGAGGCAACAAUGAGGGCGGGAGGGUGGGGACCGGCGACGAGGACGGCCGGUGAGGUCGGGGUCCGGCGGGCGACGAGGAAGACCGGCGGGGGUGAGGACUGACGAUGAGGACGACCACCAGAGGGGACGGAGGCGCGGCGCCGCGCUCCCCGAGCGGGACAUGCGGAUCCACCCCGACUGCCGGAGGAAGAAGCUGGGGGUGAUUUUUUUUUUGCCUGAAUCUAACGGUCGCGCAGCUCAUAUCGAACGGCCUAGCCUGGACCGGCCGAAACUUUCGCCCGGCCCGCCGCCGCCUAUAAGCGCUUAUAGGAUUUUCCCAACCUGCUGUCUCACCCCGACAUGGGCCUUGCCCCGCCGCGCGCCCCACCUGGGCUAGUACUAUUUGACUAGUCGUCGAUUCCAAACUCUUUUUCUUUCUUGACUAGUCGUCUUUUGGCACCUUGAUCUAGCAGGAUUCUAUCCACUCUUCUGAUCUUCUGAUUCUAUCCACUCCUCUGAUCUUCUCCCGCGUCCGCAGGUGGUUGAGUAGUUAAAACGAUGGACAGAUCCUUCAUUCUCUCGCAGGUUGGUUGCAAGAAGAGGCGCCACCAUAAGAGUGUGCCAUUUGUUCCAAAAAUAAAACCAUAAGAGAGUUACAUCCUACCAAUUAGCUCUCCAGAGAAUCCGAACGGGAGGAGCUAAUAAUAUCCUCGCAGCUACCGAUCUGUCCGAUCAUGGGGACGAGGCGUGCCGCCCUCUGCUUCCUUCUGCUCCUCGUGAUCAUCUUACACGGAAACCCUACACUCAUUUCGGCGGACGGUUCGUAGCCUCCAAAUCCCAUUUAUUUCACUCUGUUACAUUACAUAUGCAUGGCCAUUUCUUCUUCUGCUGGUUCAUUCAUGAGAAUAUGAUGAGAUCGUGUGAGGCUAUGCAAGUUACCUACUGAUUCGAUGUGUGGACGAUCUGUAAAUGUGCGCCCGUGUUCUUCAGACGCAGAGGUGUGCAAGUACAGGAAUCCGUACGUGCCCUUCUGCCACGGCUGGAGCUGCAAGGCGGAGUGCUGGAUCGAGGCCAAAAUCUUCAACGCCCGUCUACAGGAGUACAGGUGUAUCAGGGGCGGCAUCAAGGGCACCUGCUACUGCCUCUUCUGCGGGAACCACAUGAGGUUCCUCCACCUCCACUGAAAACAUCCCACGACCGUCUCGAUAUUCACUUCUCCGGCAGGAAUUACCCACUAGAAACCGAUAAUCCCUUGUCUCAUAAACCAAUUACAACCAGUUUAUUAAGAUAGCAGCAGCAGAUGUAGUACCUACAGUAGUUAAGAACCUAAGAUAUAGUUAGUCUUAGCAGGUUGGAGAUUGAAUUCUGUUUUUAUUUUUGGCUUCCUAGAUGGCUACUACGACUGUGUAAUUUCUUGCUUCAAUUAAUAUUAUGGAUUCUUACAAUAAACAUAAUUACAUGAUGGUAGCUUCCUAACCGAAAUGCUCAGAAAUGCUUGAGAGAUUCAUGCUCGCAAGUGGAUGAACUAACAGGUUUCCGCUGGAGUGGGUACAUGAAACUACGGAUGUCGGUAUGUCACAUCAUAAAAAAAGGAUUAAUGUCAAUUCAAGAUUAAUCAUUUGUGCCUAUUGUUUUCCCUCAAAAUUAUUAACAAAUUUUUCGGGUCUAUACACUCAAAAGAAAAAUCUGAUGGCGUUUUUUGAUCUCGAAAAUUAUGAAGUAUAUAGUAUGCAGAUGAACAUCCUACGUGUAAAACUUAAACCCUCAAACAUACAUUUCUGGAAUUCAAAAUAUUUGGGUCUUAUACUCAUGCCCUUGUGAUAAAAUAAACGUUUCAAAAGCCAGAAGUUAGAGCAUCUACAGCCGGGCUCUUCAAACGCCCCCUAUAUGUCUAGACGGCCGGCAUGUUCUAUGACCAGUCACAAAAAUGUGACCCAAGCACACUUCUCAAACCGGCCAUAUACGUUCGGCUGACAGGCACCUCUCAUAUUUAGCCCAAAUCUGGGGCGAAUACGAGGCCCAGGCGUGCUCAAGCGCAUCCACCACACUGGACUGACGUACGGACCCGCGUGGGCAGCGGUUGUUACCUAGCAGUCCGACAAGGACACCGCUCCGGCAAGCCGCCCGAGGUGACAAAUCCGGCUAUUAAAGCCGGAGGGCGACCCCCGAUCGUAGCAAUAGUCCCAUUUCCCUCCCUUUGGCGCCGCCACCCACCACAUCUGCUCAUAGCUUGUUGUCUGCUUGUAGCUCUGGCCCGGGAGCAGAUAACCAUGUACGACGCUCACUCCAGAGCGCCGAUUGUAGCUCCUAGAGCAGAUCUGGGCCCGAUGUGCCACUCGCAUUGUAGCUGACCUGCCUCCAGACUCUCCGGUGCAUGAGGAGGAGGAGGAGGAGGAAUGGGAAGGCGAGGCCGGGUCGGCGCUUCCAGUUGCCAGAUUCGGUAUGGGCAACACACAAGCAGAGUAUGAGGUCGUCCAAGAGGAGGAGGCGGUGGGGCGCGACCAAUUCUUCGUGGACAUGGAGUCCGACGAAGAGCCGAAGCCGCGGGCGGUGGGGCCAAUGACUGGGAGGCAUGUUGGUCCGGUAGUGCUGACAAUGAGUUCGUCUACAUCUCUGAUGACGAGUAGUAGGAAAGUUUAUUUAUGCAGUACUACAUAGUUUUUGUGUUGCAUGGUGUGGUAUGGAUUUGAGGUAUGAAGUUUGAGGUGUGUGGUUACACCAGACGCAAAAUGGGGAGUGACCGGGCCCUCUACGUAGACGCACCCGGACACAUCAUUGGACGCAUUGGGGGCGGAUUAGUUAGGUCCGGUUGUAGAAGCUCUCAUUUAUACCUUACCUCAAAAUAUCUUCGGCCAUCGAUUUCUUGGUUCAUAUUUCAAAGCUUGUUUCUAGCUCAAUAUGUCUUCGAGGAUCGAACAUGCCCCUUACUAGGUACUGCCUCUGUAAAGAAAUACAAGAGCGUUUAGAUCAGUAGUGAUCUAAACGCUCUUAUAUUUGUUUACGGAGGGAGUACUACUUACUACUAGUAUUCAGUUGUCGACCACAUACUCGUGAUACGUCCAUUUUGCAUCAUGCUUUCAUAUUGAUAGUUACUGGAUUAUGGGUGUUAUCACACAUUAUAUCACAAUACUUAUGCCUAUUAUUUCUUAUUUUGUAAGGUUUACAUGAAGAGGGAGAAUGCCGGCAGCUGGGAUUCUGGACUGGAAAGGAGCAAAUAUUAGAGACCUAUUCUGCACAACUCCAAAAGUCAUGAAACUUCACGGAGCAUGUUUUUGGAAUAUAUAAAAAAUAUUGGGUGAAGAAAAUACUAGAGGGGGCCCACCAACUAGCCACAAGGGUGGAGGGCGCGCCCUACCCCCUUGGGCGCGCCCCCCGACCUUGUGGGCCCCCUGGCAGGCCUUUGGUGCCCAUCUUUGGCUAUAUGGUGUGUUUUGACCUGGAAAAAAAUAGAGAGAAGUUUUUGGAACGAAGCGCCACCAUCUCGAGGCGGAACGUGGGCAGAACCAAUCUAGGGCUCCGGCGAAGCUGUUCUGUCGGGGAAACAUCCCUCUGGGAAGGGGAAAUCAUCGACAUCGUCAUCACCAUCGAUCCUCUCAUCGAGAGGGGUUCAACCUCCAUUAACAUCUUCUCCCGCACCAUCUCCUCUCAAACCCUAGUUCAUCUCUUGUAUUCGAUCUUGGUCCCAAAACCUCAGAUUGGUACCUGUGGGUUGCUAGUAGUGUUGAUUACUCCUUGUAGUUGAUGCUAGUUGGUUUAUCUGGUGGAAAAUUAUAUUUUCAGAUCCUUAAUGAUAAUUAAUAUUCCUCUGAUCUUGAUUAUGAAUAUGCUUUGUGAGUAGUUACGUGUGUUCCCGAGGACAUGGGAGAAGUCUUGUUAUAAGUAAUCAUGUGAAUUUGGUAUUCGUUCGAUAUUUUGAUGAGAUGUAUGUUGUCUCUCCUCUAGUGGUGUCAUGUGAACAUCGACUACAUGACACUUCACCAUUAUUUGGGCCUAGGGGAAGGCAUUGGGAAGUAAUAAGUAGAUUAUGGGUUGCUAGAGUGACAGAAGCUUAAACCCUAGUUUAUGUGUUGCUUCGUAAGGGGCUGAUUUGAAUCCAUAUGUUUCAUGCUAUGGUUAGGUUUACCUUAAUUCUUCUUUCUUAGUUGCGGAUGCUUGCGAGAGGGGUUCAUCAUAAGUGGGAGGCUUGUCCAAGGAAUGACAGCACCCGAGCAUCGGUCCACCCACAUAUCAAAUUAUCAAAGUAAUGAACGCGAAUCAUAUGAGCAUGAUGAAAACUAACUUGACAAUAAUUUCCAUGUGUCCUCAGGAGUGCUUUGCUUUAUAUAAGAGUUCGUUCAGGCUUGUCCUUUGCUACAAAAAAGAUUGGGCCACCUUGCUGCACCUUAGUUACUUUAUUUACUUGUUACUCGUUAUGAUUUAUCUUAUCACAAAACUACCUGUUACCGAUAAUUUCAGUGCUUGCAGAGAAUACCUUGCUGAAAAUCACUUGUCAUUUCCUUCUGCUCCUCGUUGGAUUCGACACUCUUACUUAUCGAAAGGACUACGAUAGAUCCCCUAUACUUGUGGGUCAUCAAGACUCUUUUCUGGCGCCGUUGCCGGGGAGUGAAGAGCCUUCGGUAAAUUGGUACGGAAAUAUUUAUAUAGUGUGCUGAAAUUUACUGUCACUUGUUGCUAUGGAAAAUAAUCCUUCGAGGGGUUUGUUUGAGGUUCGACCGGAACCACAAUUAGGUAAUCCUCAACCUUCUGCACCUACUGAAAAUAUUUAUUAUGAAAUUCCUUCGGGUAUGAUAGAGAAACUGCUAGCUAAUCCGUAUGCAGGAGAUGGAACAUUACAUCCUGAUAUGCAACUAAUUUAUGUGGAUGAAGUUUGUGGAUUAUUUAAGCUUGCGGGUAAGCUCGAGGAUGUUGUCAAGAAGAAAUUCUUCCCUUUAUCUUUGAAGGGAAAGGCAUUGACAUGGUACAGGCUAUUGGAUGAUAUUGGAUCAUGGAACUACAACCGUUUGAAAUUGGAAUUUCAUCAGAAGUUUUAUCCUAUGCAUCUGGUUCAUCGUGAUCGGAAUUAUAUAUAUAAUUUUUGGCCUCGUGAAGGAGAAAGUAUCGCUCAAGCUUGGGGGAGGCUUAAGUCAAUGUUAUAUUCAUGCCCCAAUCAUGCACGGUCAAGUUUUGGCGACACAUCAAUCUGUUGGCAUAUGGUAGCUUUGCCAACACAUAACUUGAAGCUAAUACAUAUCCUGACAGAAGAUAAAAGAGUCGGAGGACUUGCCGUGGGCAAAGGUAUUGCCGACAGAAGUUCACUUGCUGACACUUUUCUAGUUGGCAUACACCCUACCUAUGGAUCUAGGGCUGGAGCUCAGGGGAUUGACUACAACGGAUUGAGGACGGGGUGGAGUUUGAGGCUGGCGGCGGGGGAGUGCGAGCUCCGGGAAGGCGGAUUGAGGACUGUGCGGAGCGCGAGGCCGGCAGCGAUGGCGAUAGAGGAUUGGAUCGAGCGCGACAGUGGCGGCAGCAGGCAUGGGUUAGGGUUGGGUUAGAUUUGGGGUAUUUUUCACAAGGGAAGGGCAUUUUGCACUUGAGGAUUUUUUCCAUGAACAUGCGAAAAUUUCGCUCGCCCGCCGAAAUCACGCGCCAGGUUUCUAACCUUCUGAUGAUUGACAUGUGUCCACUUACACUGACAGUUAAUCUGAGCGCAUAGACCCUACCUACGCCGACACAUUUUAGGUCACUAAAUACAUAGCUGCGUCGACUGAAAAACUGUUAAGGCCAACACAUAUGCCGACACAUAGCACGUCACUAAGCAAUUACUGACAGACACGUUGUUGCUUUAUGGUUGCUGACACUUAGUGUGUCAAUAAUGAUAUACCUUUGCCGACACUUGAUAUGAAGACAAAAGUUAAAAGCUACGCUGACAGAUAGUUUGUGAAGAUUAGUUGAUCUUUGCCGACAGAAGUGUGUCACCUAAGCUCUACCGUCGUGUAGUGUCAAGAGAAAUUAUUAUUCAAAUUUUUUAUGCUCGGCUUUCUCAUAAUGAUCGAUCCAUACUCGAUACUUCUUGUAUUGGCUCCUAUAUGAAGAAGGAUAUUGAAUUCAAAUGAGAUUUAUUGGAAAGAAUUAAACGCAACUCUAAAGAUUGGGAACUCGACGAAGGUAAAGAGUUAGGUAUAAACCUUAAGUUUGAUUGUGUUAAGUAUUUUAUGGAUACCGAUGCUUUUCGUGAUUUUAGCACUAAAUAUGGAGUUGACUCUGAUAUAGUAUCUUCUUUCUGUGAAUCAUUUCACUACUACAGGAUGCUGCUAACGCGACACUACGAUCAGAGACCCUUCGAUGAAACUGUGUGCGAUGCAAUAAUCGCAAACAGUGGUGUAAAAAACCGUCAAAAAAGGUGCAAAACGUUUGCGAUUGUGGGAUGCAUCAAACACGGUUCGGUUUUUUAGUUGCUUGUGCGAUGCAGGGCAUACGGUUCAGUUCAAUUAACUGUUUGCGAUGAGGAGGAACAAAAGAAACGGGCAGCCAUGAAGGUGUGUGCGAUAUACAGCAUACGGUUUACUCGGAUGAAUUGUUUGUGAUUAGGAAACACAAAAGAAACGGUCAGCUAGAUCAAGGUGUGUGUGAUAUACGGCAUGCGGUUCACUCGGAUGAACUGUUUGUGUUGAGACAAGAGAACAGAAACGGUUCAAUAUAUCAAGAUGUGUGUGAUACGCGACAAACAAGUCUGUAAUCAGAAAUGUGUGCGAAGACCGAUAAUAACACAUCGGAUUGCUUCUAAUAAGACGUAUGUGAUAUGCUCUGUCUACACAACAUCUAUUGGCCAUUGGGGGACGGGCGGUCAUCCGGAUAUGUGAUAUGCUCUGUCUACACACCAUCUCUUAAUUUAACCUCGAUGUCCUUGUUUUUAUGUUUUUAUUUUUAACACAUGUUAAAGAAGGUCUAUCGCAUUACUUUUUGACAAUGUGCGAUACGUGGCAUACAGUUGAUCCAUCCGACCUGUUUGUGAUGGAAUAAGUCAUGUGUGUUGUGGGCAAACGCUUGCUAGUAUUGAUUGCUGAAUUCAUCACCGACGGGUUCCCUAGUGUGGUCCGUGUUCAUCUGAUCAUCAUCUACUUUUUGCGCUAACUCGAUGUUCCUUCUAUGCUAAGAUUCCAUUAAUUGAUGGAGUUUUAUGAACAUGCCACCGUUUCCUGCCAUUUUCUCACCUGUUUCCCGCCGCCUAGCGAUAUUGUGCAUAAACCUAGGCGGCGCACGAUGCAUGGAGGUGACAAGCGCAGCUUGUAGCACAUCCACAUUUUCCAAGCAUGUCAACCCACCAAAGCACCGCCUCUGCCAUCAACCUCGUCGACGAGGAAAACGAGCAGGCGCCACGGCCCGUCGAGGCCGAGGCGCUCCCCGGCAACGCGAUGGACGAGGCUAUGAUGCGCAUCAUCACCAGGGUUGAGCAGACCUCUGGUGCAUGGCGCUUGAGCGCCGCGGAUCAAGAUAGGCAUGUCAGCGCCGAUAGGCUGCAGCUCGCCGCACAACAUGAUCGAUGGCGCGCCGCAAAGCAAGCUAGGUGCGUCCGCGCCGAUAGGCUGCAACUUGCCGCACGACAAGACCAUUGGAACGCCGCAGAGCGAGAGGCGCAACGUGCCGCACAGCAAGAGCGGAUCCAUCGGCGCUUGCCUGCUGUCGACACAGCAUCGCAGCUAGGUACACAUCCCGUCAGUACCCCCGUUUGUCGCCAGGGGUGGGCAGAGGCCCUCAGCGCCGUACUUGCACCAGAGGCCGGCCGCUCCAUACUUGCACCAGACGCCCGCCGCACCGUUCGCAUGGGUGGCACCAUUCGCCUUGUCCGCGGCCCGCUAGAUGCCAAUGCGCUGGUCUGUAGGCUUGACUGCCUCCUUGGCCCAGGUGUCCACCUGGGUGCAGUAGAGGAACUUGGCCAUCGCAUCCUCGAGUUGGUGAUCACCGAUGAAAUAGACAACUUUGAGCUCGAGAUCGCGUUCCAGAUGUACCACGAGCGUGUCGACCGCUUGGAUGAACGCUGCACGAGUUCAGGCAAAGCCAAGAGCUACCGUAGGCAAGAGAUGCUGGUCAUGGUCUCAUGGACGCGUUUUAUUUUGUUGUGUUUUUUCGACGUGGAUAGCUAUGUAUUCACAGCAAUCAUAGUAUUGCUCUGUUUAUUCCUCUGUUUCAAUGUGUGUGCUCUAUCUUCUGUUCUUAUAUGUUCUGUUUCAAUGUGUGUAUAUACGCUUUCCAUUCUGUAUAUGUGGAUGAUAACAGCUAGAUUCAAAUUAGUAUACAAAAAUAGAUAAAAAAUGGAAUACAUAAUAUAUAUAUAUAUAUAUAUAUAUAUAUAUAUAAUGUCAUCACAUAUACGUGAUGAUACUUAACUACUAGGUACAAUGCAUAAAAUUGAAAACAAACAAUAUUAAAACCAAGGUUGUCAGAAUCGCGAUUUUAAAUCGGAUCGGAGCUCUGAUGAUAGAAUCGUAAAUCAUAGAAUCUUCACUACGAGGAUCGUAGAAACGUAGAUUUUAUGAACUAAAAUCGUAGAAUCGGAUGGGUAAGUUUGGAUCGUAAAGUCGUACAAUCGUAUAACAGAAUCGCGAUUCUAACAACCUUGAUUAAAACUAAUAAUCCCUCUCGGGGCCAGUAUUUCGGCAGCCCCUCACCAGCAGCUCCCUGGUGCGCGGCGUCUUCCGAGUGCGGAGGCACUACUCUGCCUCCUCCACCUCGCAGCGCUUGACGUAUCAAUCUGCCUCUUCCUGGCGGACGCGCGUGAACGAUCUUGCCAUUUCGUUGGGCGCCCACCGGAGCUCCUCGUUGUUGGCAUGCUAGAGCUUAUCGGCCCACCUCCACGCAAUGACGAGGCGCUCAGCGCCUAUGACCUUCCUCACGAAGUACCGGUCUUCGUACACCUCGGCACGACGACGCGCCCACCCGCAAAGCUCCGCCGCCUCCUUUUUCCAGGCGACAUCACGGGUUUCACAGGCCGCCUGGUACCUGGCUUCCUCCUCUGCCAUCUCCUUCUUGAAUGCCACUUGCCUCGCUUUCUCAGCCGAUGGCAGCGACUUUCACAGACAAAGAUUGUACUGACCCCAAAACCAAUCCAAAGUUGGGGUGUCCAGCGCAACCUCAUCCGGCGGCGCGUAGGGGUCCUCGUUGCUGCUAUUCGAGUGAGCGUCCUCGGGGGGCGGCGACUCUUCGUCGGCGCGUAGAUAGACGGGCGGCGCCAUGGCAGAGAUUUAAGAGAGAGAGAGAGGGAGAGAGAGAGAGAUAGAGGGCGAGCGAGGGGAGGAUGUAGAUGAGAAUGCAAGCGGGGCGACGUGAGCAAGGUAGUAUUUAUUAGCGGCCAGAAUCUACAUCAACGGGGACAGUACACACGCAGGUCACCGAAAUUUACGAGUACUGUAGUUUGAAUUACACAUGAUUCCCGCAUCAAAAUCCAUGUGUGAACAUAAUAGCUGACGGUUUCCAAUACAGAACCGUGUCUGAUUAAUGAUCUCGUNNNNNNNNNNNNNNNNNNNNNNNNNNNNNNNNNNNNNNNNNNNNNNNNNNNNNNNNNNNNNNNNNNNNNNNNNNNNNNNNNNNNNNNNNNNNNNNNNNNNNNNNNNNNNNNNNNNNNNNNNNNNNNNNNNNNNNNNNNNNNNNNNNNNNNNNNNNNNNNNNNNNNNNNNNNNNNNNNNNNNNNNNNNNNNNNNNNNNNNNNNNNNNNNNNNNNNNNNNNNNNNNNNNNNNNNNNNNNNNNNNNNNNNNNNNNNNNNNNNNNNNNNNNNNNNNNNNNNNNNNNNNNNNNNNNNNNNNNNNNNNNNNNNNNNNNNNNNNNNNNNNNNNNNNNNNNNNNNNNNNNNNNNNNNNNNNNGGGCGGUUGUCUUGCCACAUCUUUACAUUUUCUUUUUGGAACACUAGAUAUUUACAUCGUCUGAUGAUUUUUUAACUCGCACACAAGUAUACAAAAAUAUGAUUUCUCAAACCGUUAUAGUUAGGCAUUGCAUGUAGAUGUAGUUCAAAUUUGAAUUACGGUCAUUAAAUAGCUAGAAAAUCACUUGAAUGUCUUUAAAAGGUCAAAUGACACCUGAAAUUUUCCAAUUUUUCACAUUACAGUUGUAUUAGUGCACGUUAAACAUAGAAAAAAAUUAAAAGCCGUAAGAGGAAGCUAUCUCACGUUCGUCAUCAAAUAUGCAUUAUUCCCUCUCGGAACCACGAACCUUCUAGUGAGUUGCUCCGGUUUGUGAGGGGUGUGUGUCCAAACUUCCUUCAAACAGACCAAUUUUUUUACCAUAUUAUCUUGGUGACAUGACAUUAAAUCAAGCAAGGUUUAAUGUUUUUCUAAUCAUUUUUUAAUUUUUUGGAAUUAAAAUACCAUGACACUCCAUGCAUGUGCCCAUGUUGUGAGACCAAUAUGUUUGAAAAUUCCUUCUAAUUUACAGCACAUGGAAUUAACUCACACACAAGUACACAAAUAUGAUUUUUCAAACUGUUUUGGUUAGGUGUUGCAUGUAGAUGUAGUUCAAAUUUGAAUUACGGUCAUUAAAUGGUUAGAAAAUCACUUAAAUGUCUUUAAAAGGUCAAAUGACCCCUAAAUUUUUCCAAAAUUUCACAUUACAGUUGUAGUAGUGCAUGUUAGACGUAGAAUAAAAUUGAAGGCCGUAUGAGGAAGCUAUCUACUGUUCGUCCUCAAACAUGCAUUCCGAACCACAAGCCUUCUAGUGAGUUGCUCCGGUUUGUGAGGAUGUGUGUCCAAACUUUCGUCACACAUGCCAAUUUUUUAACCACAUCAUCUGGGUGGCAUGACAUUACAUGAAGCAAGGUUUCAUGUUUUUCUGAUCAUUUUUUAAUUUUUUGAAAGUAAAAUGCCAUGGCACUCCAUGCAUACGUAUGCAUGUGUCCAUGUCGUGAGACCAAUAUGUUUGAAAAUUCCUUCUAAUUUACUGCACAUGGAAUUAACUCGCACACAAGUACACAAAUAUGAUUUUUCAAACCGUUAUGGUUAGGCAUUGCAUGUAGAUGUAGUUCAAAUUUGAAUUAUGGUUAUUAAAUGGCUAGAAAAUCACUUAAAUGUCUUAAAAGGUCAAAUGACCCCUAGAAUUUUUCAAAAUUUCACAUUACAGUUGUAGUAGUGCAUGUUAGACGUAGAAAAAAAUUGAAGGCCGUAAGAGGAAGCUAUCUCUCGUUCGUCAUCAAACAUGCAUUGUUGCCUCUCGGAACCACGAGCCUUCUAGUGAGUUGCUCCGGUUCGUGAGGGGUGUGUGUCCAAACUUUCGUCAAACAUGCCAAUUUUUUACCACAUCAUCUUGGUGGCAUGAGAUUACAUCAAGCAUGGUUUUAUGUGUUUCUGAUAUUUUUUUAAUUUUUGGAAUUAAAAUGCCAUAUCACUCCAUGCAUACAUAUGCAUGUGUCCAUGUCACGAGACAAAUAUGUUUGAAAAUUCCUUCUAAUUUACUACACAUGGAAUUAACUCGCACACAAAUACACAAAUAUGAUUUUUCAAACUGUUUUGGUUAGGCGUUGCAUGUAGAUGUAGUUCAAAUUUGAAUUAUGGUCAUUAAAUGGCUAGAAAAUCACUUAAAUGUCUUUAAAAGGUCGACUGACCCCUCUAAAAUUUUCCAAAAUUUCACAUUACAGUUGUAGUAGUGCACGUUAGACGUAGGAAAAAAUUGAAGACCGUAAGAGGAAGCUAUCUCCCGUUCGUCAUCAAACAUGCAUUGUUCUCUCUCGGAACCACGAUCCUUCUAGUGAGUUGCUCCGGUUUGUGAGGAGUGUGUGUCCAAACUUUCGUUAAACAUGCCAAUUUUUACCACAUCAUCUUGGUGGCUUGACAUUAUAUCAAGCAGGGUUUCAUGUGUUUCUGAUUUUUUUAUUUAAUUAAAAUGCCAUGUCACUCCAUGCAUACAUAUGCAUGUGUCCAUGCCGUGAGACAAAUUUGUUUAAAAAUUCUUUAUAAUUUACUGCACAUGGAAUUAACUCGCACAUAAGUAUACAAAUAUGAUUUUUUUAAACUGUUAUGGUUAGGCGUUGCAUGUAGAUGUAGUUCAAAUUUAAAUUACGGUCAUUAAAUUGCUAGAAAAUCAGUUAAAUUUCUUUAAAAGGUCAACUGACCCCUAGAAUUUUCCAAAAUUUCACAUUACAGUUGUAGUAGUGCACGUUAGACGUAGAAAAAAUUGAAGACCGUAAGAGGAAGCUAUCUCCCAUUCGUCAUCAAACAUGCAUUGUUCCCUCUCGGAACCACGAGCUUUCUAGUGAGUUGCUCCAGUUUGUGAGGGGUGUGUGUCCAAAGUUUGGUCAAACAUGCCAAAAAAUUUACCACAUCAUCUUGGUGGCAUGACAUUACAUCAACCAAGGUUUCAUGUGUUUCUGAUAUAUUUUUAUUUUUUGGAAUUAAAAUGCCAUGUCACUCCAUGCUUAAUUGUGUCUUAGUCGUUAGACCAAUAUGUUUGAAAAUUCCAUCCAAUCUACUGCACAUGGAAUUAAAUCGCACACAAGUACACAAAAUAUAAGUUUUCAAACCGUUAUGGUUAGCUGUUGCAUGUACAUGUAGUUCAAAUUUCAAUUACGGUCAUUAAAUGGCUAGAAAAUCACUUAAAUGUCUUAAAAGGUCAAAUGACCCCUGAAAUUUUCCAAAAUUUGACAUGACAGUUGUAUUAGUACUACAAAAUUUCUCGUACAUUUAAAACACCAUUCGUUGCCACUUUACUCCAAAUUCGUCUUUCACUACUAAUAAAAAAUAUAUACAACAUCACAGACAGUUGUUUUCUAGGAACCGUUUGCGAUGAAAAUAUCUGGGUCUAUUUAAGUCUCCCUCCUUAAGCUUCACCGGCUUGUCUGCUCCAGUGCCGGCAACCCCCGAAUCCAUGAAUCCAGAUCCCCUUUCCUACACCCCCUUCUUGCAAAGAUGACGCUGUGGAAACGCUUCGUGAAGGCCCGUACGAUGGCCGCCGCCUGCGCCGAGAGCGCGUCCGCCUAUGCUGAGAGUGCCGCCCAUCCGCAUUGAGCACGGCCGCUUCCUCCGGGAGGGCGUCUAUGGCACUCGACAGGGCAGUUGCAGCAGCCGAGACGGCUGCAGCUGCUGCUGCGAUGGCGGCUACAAACGUCGAGAGUGCUCGAGUUGCCGUCCAUGCCGCCGAUGUCGCCCUGGCCCGGGUCGAGGCCAUCCACGCCAAGAUCGAGGAUGCACACACCAAGAUAUUCCAGGCCACCUCGGACUCCAGCAUGCAACCUGUUGGGGAACGUAGUAAUUUCAAAAAAUAUCCUACGCACAUGCAAGAUCAUGGUGAUGCAUAGCAACGAGAGGGGAGAGUGUUGUCCACGUACCCUCGUAGACCGAAAGUGGAAGCGUUAGCACAACGCGGUUGAUGUAGUCAUACGUCUUCACGAUCCAACCGAUCAAGUACCGAAUGCACGACACCUCCGAGUUCAGCACACGUUCAGCCUGAUGACGUCCCUCUAACUCCGAUCCAGCCGAGUGUUGAGGGAGAGUUUCAUCAGCAUGACGGCGUGGUGACGAUGUUGAUGUUCUACCGACGCAGGGCUCCGCCUAAGCACUGCUACAGUAUUAUUGAGGUGGACUAUGGUGGAGGGGGGCACCGCACACGGCUAAGAGACGAUCAACUUGAUCAACUUGUGUGUCUAGAGGUGCCCCCCUGCCCCUGUAUAUAAAGGAGCAAGGGGGGUGCGGCCGGUCAAGGGGAGAGGCGCGCCGGAGGAGUCCUAAUGGACUCCCCUCCUUUUCCUAGUUGGAUUAGGACUUGGGAGGGGGGAAGAAGGAAAGAGGGGGCCGGCCCCUUUUGCCCUAAACCAAUUCGGUUUGGGCCUUGGGGGGGGGCCCACACUUCCCUUGCUUCCCUCCUUUUCCACUAAGGCCCAUGUAGGCCCAUUAAGCACCCGGGGGUUCCGGUAACCUCCCGGUACUCCGGUAAAAUCCCGAUUUCACCCGGAACACUUCCGAUAUCCAAACAUAGGCUUCCAAUAUAUCAAUCUUCAUGUCUCGACCAUUUCGAGACUCCUCGUCAUGUCCGUGAUCACAUCCAGGACUCCGAACAACCUUCGGUACAUCAAAACAUAAAACUCAUAAUAUAACUGUCAUUGUAGCGUUAAGCGUGCGGACCCUACGGGUUCGAGAAUUAUGUAGACAUGACCGAGACACGUCUCCGGUCAAUAACCAAUAGCGGAACCUGGAUUCUCAUAUUGGAUCCUAUAUAUUCUACGAAGAUCUUUAUCGGUCAGACCGCAUAACAACAUACGUUGUUCCCUUUGUCAUCGGUAUGUUACUUGCCUGAGAUUCGAUCGUCGGUAUCUCAAUACCUAGUUCAAUCUCGUUACCGGCAAGUCUCUUUACUCGUUCCUUAAUACAUCAUCACGCAAUUAACUCAUUAGUUGCAAUGCUUGCAAGGCUUAAGUGAUGUGCAUUACCGAGAGGGCCCAGAGAUACCUCUCCGACAAUCGGAGUGACAAAUCCUAAUCUCGGAAUACGCCAACCCAACAAGUACCUUCGGAGACACAUGUAGAGCACCUUUAUAAUCACCCAAUUACGUUGUGACAUUUGGUAGCACACAAAGUGUUCCUCUGGUAAACGGGAGUUGCAUAAUCUCAUAGUCAUAGGAACAUGUAUAAGUCAUGAAGAAAGGAAUAGCAACAUACUUAAACGAUCAUGUGCUAAGCUAAUGGAAUGGGUCAUAUCAAUCACAUCAUUCUCCUAAUGAUGUGAUCCCGUUAAUUAAAUGACAACCCAUGUCAAUGGCUAGGAAACUUAACCAUCUUUGAUUAACGAGCUAGUUAAGUAGAGGCAUACUAGUGACACUCUGUUUGUCUAUGUAUUCACACAUGUAUUAUUUUUCCGGUUAAUACAAUUCUAGCAUGAAUAAUAAACAUUUAUCAUGAUAUAAGGAAAUAAAUAAUAACUUUAUUAUUGCCUCUAGGGCAUAUUUCCUUCACAACCCACGUCCGAAAAGGCGGCGGUGGCCAUGGAGCACCUACUUCCUCAUGAGGUCGCCGAGCGGGAGCUGGAGAUGCAGGAGGCGGCGGAGAUCGAGGAGCACCGGGAGGAGGAGUUGCGCGUGGCCGAGGUCGGGGUAGAGAAGAGUCUGUCCGUCGAGGAAUCGACGGUGGAGUACCAAUGCGAGCUCUGGCACAACCACUACUACGAGUACUAAAACCUUGAGGGCGACGCCGAGGACGAUGUCGAGGACGCGGUCGACUUCAGCAGGGGGCGCGGAGUCCACCAAUAGCGGCAUGUCGCUAGGACAAGUCAUCGACAUCUCAUCUCACACCGGCGAUGCAUAGGCCGGCACGGUGGCGGAUUUGUUAAAAUUAUGCGUACUUAGGCUUUGUUUUUAAUGUUGGUCUUUUGUUAGAGCAAUGUUUAGGUCAACUGGCUCUGUUUAAUUACUAAAAUUGCUCGAUUCAGUUAGUGUGGUCUGUCUGCUGUAUGCUCUUUUGUGUGCCCAAAUUAGCAAGCGAUGUUAAAUUAUGCAAUGACGUACCCGGGGAAAUUUCCACCAAAAUUUGAAUUAUCAAACUCAUCCCAUGCGCGUAAAGCAGAAGAAUUGUUUGCGAUGCACACAAUCGUUCAAAGUGGAUGGUCCGGAGGCACAGCGCGCAAAGUUUCCCUCCACAUUUCCAAAAUUUUGGCCUACCGCCAAAAUAUCUACCCCGCCCCCCUUCCCCACCCCCUUUUCUCCCCGACCACAAGUCACAUUUCCCCUGUUUCCUCCUUCCUUCCUUCCUUCCUAAGCUAUCACUACUAGGGAAAAGCUUAUACAUAGGAUCUUACCAGCAGCAAGUUUUAAAUUAAGGCGCUGCUGCAAUGUAGCAGUACCGCGCUCCGGCAGUACUCGCUGUUGAAAUAAACGUAGCAGGAGCGCGCCUCCUCUAAGCCGCGCUACUGCUAUAAUUCCCACGACCCUGCCGUGNNNNNNNNNNNNNNNNNNNNNNNNNNNNNNNNNNNNNNNNNNNNNNNNNNNNNNNNNNNNNNNNNNNNNNNNNNNNNNNNNNNNNNNNNNNNNNNNNNNNNNNNNNNNNNNNNNNNNNNNNNNNNNNNNNNNNNNNNNNNNNNNNNNNNNNNNNNNNNNNNNNNNNNNNNNNNNNNNNNNNNNNNNNNNNNNNNNNNNNNNNNNNNNNNNNNNNNNNNNNNNNNNNNNNNNNNNNNNNNNNNNNNNNNNNNNNNNNNNNNNNNNNNNNNNNNNNNNNNNNNNNNNNNNNNNNNNNNNNNNNNNNNNNNNNNNNNNNNNNNNNNNNNNNNNNNNNNNNNNNNNNNNNNNNNNNNNNNNNNNNNNNNNNNNNNNNNNNNNNNNNNNNNNNNNNNNNNNNNNNNNNNNNNNNNCUGGACUUGGUACCGCCCUCCUCCUCCGUCCCCCCUCGACUCGCCACCGGCCAGCCCCUCCUCGCUCUGCCCUUCCUCCUCCGUCCUACUCUCUCCUCCCUCCUCCAGUCGCCCCUCCUUCUCCCUCCUCCCUCCUCCAUCCACAACCCCUCCUCCCUGCUACAUUUUGAUUUAGUAGGCUAGUUCAUAUGUAGCAUUUUGAUUUAGCUCAUAUGAUUUAGUUGAUUUAGUAGGCUAGUUGAUUUAGUUGAUUUAGAACAUUUUGAUUUAGUUGAUUUAGUGGGCUAGUUAAUUUAGUUGAUUUAUAGAACAUUUUGAUUUAGUUGAUUUAGUGGGCUAGUUGAUUUAGUUGAUUUAUAGAACAUUUUGAUUUAGUUGAUUUAGUAGGCUAGUUGAUUUAGUUGAUUUAUAGAACAUUUUGAUUUAGUUGAUUUAAUAGGCUAGUUGAUUUAGUAGGCAAGUUGAUUUAAUAGGCUAGUUGAUUUAUAGAACAUUUUGAUUUAACAAUUAUUUUUCUUUCCUGUGAAGUGGAUCGUUAAUCCUUGCUCAUAUUGCUUUAGGAAAAUGGCGCCGCCACCACCACCACCACCAUGUCGAUUGUGCAAGUCAAGGUGCGCCAGCAGCCUUGCAACUGGCAAGCUGUUCGGCAUCUACUUCCAGCCGAGUUUUCGUCAUGCAGCGGUAAGAAAUUAUAUGAAAUGUAACAACUAUUUUAUUUUUAAUCUUCGCAUUACUACAUUGUGUCAUUUUGGUUUUUUUACACAGAUUGUCCCAUGCAAUGUGAGGUUGAAAUUCAACAAGCUGACAGGAGACACUGUGACAUUUGAGGCUCCUGGGGGCCGUAUAGUAUGGAGGUCGAGAAAGGACGCAAUAUGUCGCAUAUUGGAGGAGAUGGAUGGGCCCGUUUCCUCGCCCACAUGCAUCUUACUGGUGGUGAGUUUAUCAGCUUCUCCUUUAGAGCAGAAAGACCCAAGCUGGCUGUCAUUUAUAUCAACCUGGUGGAAGAUGAUGAAGAUAAUGAGGACCCACUCGAUGAAGAUGAUGAGGACCCACUCGAUGAAGAUGAUGAGGACCCACUUCAUGAAGCCAUCGUAGCUCAAAGAAUGAGGUUGAGCGAGGAGGAGGUGUGCAACCUAUGGGACAUAAUUCCGCCACGUAUUGACUUUGUCGGGGUGCCAUUCGUGACCCGCCUGACAAGUACCAUGAUCGACAUGAUAUGGUAUGUUAUACUUACAAAUGCAAAUUAUCCGAUGAUAUGCUUAGUGUAGAGUCCAAUGAUAUGUUGUGUGGAAUCUAGUCGAUGAUAUGCUUUAGCGUAGAGUUUGAUCACAUGCUUAUUAGUGUAGAAUCUAAGGAACUAUUAAUAGUGUAGAUAAUCCAUAUAUACCUAUUUGCAAGAGUAUGUGCGAGGCUAUUUAUUAAUUGAUAUGUUUUACUUAUUCGGAAAUUGGCAAAGAGUCUAUCUGUGAGUUAUGGUAUCGAGCCUGAUGAAGAAGGCUCAGCUGGACUAUGCCUUACCGCAAGGGGCUCCAUCACAACCUGUACUUGCCGCGUGGACACGGACGGUCGUACACACUUAAACUCGGUUGGGUGGAAGAGAUUCCUCGAUGGCAAGAAUCUUCGUGUUGGACAAGCCAUCCUAAUUACUAUCAGGAACACCCACCGCCCAAGCUUGAGGAUGAUGAUCGUCUUCAAUAUCAUCUAGAACUACAUAUGUGUGUGUGGCUAUAUCAUCUAGAACUACAUAUGAUGAUCGUCAUCAAUAUCAUCUAGAACUACAUAUGUCAUCGAUAUGACCUUGUACUACUUGAGGAUGCAUGUUGACUAUACAUGAAAUUGUUAUCUAGUACUCCCUUCGUUCCAAAUUACUCGUCGUGGUUUGAACUAAAACCACGACGAGAAAUUUGGAACGGAGGGAGUACUACCUAGUACUUAUAAUGCUUUAUGAAAUUGAUAUCUAGUAGUAGUAUCUGGAAAUUGCAGUUUAUUGAAACCGAAACGGGGUAGGAGGCGGGGGAAAAUGAUGAAAGAUAUAGCUGUAGCGAGGUGCUAGGAAAUUGCUACAGCUAACUAAUAGUAGCGCAUUCCAGAAAAGCGCUGCUGAUAUAGUCAACAGUAGUAGCGCGGGUGCGGACCGCGCUACUACUAACAGUUAGCUGUAGCGCCGUAGUAGUAGUGUGGCUGCCCGCGCUGCUGCUAGCCUCAAAACCCGUGCUACUACUAGGGUUUUCCCUAGUAGUUAUAGCCGCUUCCUCGCUCUCGCCGUCUCGCAUCCUACCGUCGGGGUUGCCAUGGUCUUCUUCAAAGACCUCUCUAGUGGUUCCUCCUCCGGCGACGACUCCUUCACCACCCGGGUAUGCCGCUCUUCUCUCUCUCGGGCUAUGACUUGGAAUGAACGAUUUUUACCCGGCGGUCGAUUUGAGUCAUUUCUUCCUCUUGUAGCUUCCUAGGACCAUCAACGGCAACGAAUGGAGCGGGGUGGCUGAAGAUCUAUCAGCUCGUUAUCACCAUCAAUCUCCAUGCAUGAAGCUAGUUGCAUUUGAAUCUGUGGACAAUGGGAGGAAGUUUCUGGCAUGUGCAGAGAAGGUUAGACCCUCUUUCGUUGUUACAAAUCAUUUGGUAGAUGUGAUUCAGACACUAUCACAGUCCCAACCCAUUCAUACCACACCUUAACCAAACGCAUCCUAAGACAGUGUCACAGUUUGUACCUAGUAUCUUAAAUUAUUGCCAUCUCAUUAACGGUGCCAUUAGAAAAUUAUUUGGCACCGCUUCAGCAGUUUGUGCAGCCAACUUUGGUCCACACAUCUGAGCAGCCAAGCAGUAAAAUACAAAAUCUUUAUGGCACGAAGGAACUGGGCAUUGGAGCAACUACGUGCUCCGGAGUCCGGGUCCCUGAUUUUUUUGCUGCAUCAGCUCGCCAGUGCAGGGCACUGGUGCGAGAUGUAGCAACAGUUGUCUUUACCCCAGCUUUGGCAUACAUAGUGGACGGUCUUAGUGUUAUUAGUUCUUUGUUACUAAAUUUGUGCAUGUACACACCUCUUAGUAUCAAUUUGUUGUCAUCCAAACACUGUCGCUAUGCUGUUGCAGUUAUAUUUAGGGUUUUUUACAUCUAUGCCCCUGGUUCCUUAUCUCUACUCAUUCAUCCCCACACUCUUAGCUUUUGCUCAGUUUUCCACACUCCCUUUCCAGAAACACUCGGAAGAGGUCACAAUGGACGUCACCGUCGGGUCAAUGCUUUGACCGUUAACUCUGACGAGUGGGGCCGCGUUGGGCGGUGUAGCUGUUCGACCGUUGGGCCAUGGUUUUGUUGGGCCGUCCAUUGCAUUAAAUGCCUGCGCGCGCCGCCACGACAGAAGCCUGUUAUGCAUGCACCCAACAAGCCUUCCUGCAUGCAUCGAUGCGCGCUUCCGCGAUGCACCGAUCGAGCCUGCAUGCGCUGAUGCGUGCCGCCAUGAUGCACUGACCGAGCCGCUUUCGUGCACGCCAGCCGCCAUAGAUGCAGCAACGGUCGCUGCCGCUGGUUCCUCUCUUCUCGCACGCUUGUCUCCUCGAUUUAGAGCAUCAUUUUUUAUGAUUAGUUGCAGCCUUUUCGAUCCACUCGCAUCUGCACCCGUUUUGCUACGACAAAUAAAUUGAACAAAUAUGUUGUGGCUGCAUGCAUUAGCUAGGUGGCUACAUAUUUGUGGCUUGUGUAAAAAAAUAAGGGUUUGUUGUGGCUGCAUGCACUAGGUGGUUACUAACAAAGCGAGCUCUCUAAGAAAACAAUCAACAAACAUGUAGAUAGGGCCAACAAGCCCAUAACAUGAUCACAUAGUUGAAACUAGGAAGAACUUCAUAAUAGAAUAGAUAGAAAACUUAAUAAUGAAACUUGAUAAAAGGGCCAACAAGCCCGUAGAAUCUCCAACAUAGUUCAAUUACAACUUAACAUAACAUAGACUAAAAAGAAAAAUAGAUAGAGGGUUUAGAACCCUAGACGCCGCCUUCUCCACCUCGCUCCUCCUUCGGCCGCCCUUCACUGCUCCUCCGGGGCGUUGUCGAUGGGGUACGGAAGAGUGUGCAUGCGCGACAUGGUGGGGAAGAUGUUGGUGUACUCUGUGAAUAUGUUGUGGGUGGUGAAAGCGAUGAACUUGCAGCCACACCAAAACACCCGGCCGAGGAGGUAGAAGGCGUCGAAUGUGUUGGUGAAGUGGGCAAGGAGAGCAACCACCACCCUGUUUUGGAUGACCUCCUUGACACGGAACAUCCUUGGAGAUCCCCGCAGGGAGGUGGUGGUAGCCGAACGCGAGGAAGAACUCAGUGAAGUUCCUUGCGGUCCUCCACCUUGAUAUCGCCCACACACGUAGUGUGCGGUCAACGUACAUGCCACGAGGGUAGAGCCUCUCCGGCACGGUGGGUGGGAAGUGGUAGGUUGGUUCGGUGUACUGCAUGGCUGAGGAUGUGCUAGAAGAAGGAGAAGUGGUCGAAGAGCAAGAAGGACAGAUGGCAGAGAGGAUGGGAGAUGGAUGAGGGAUGGCAGAGGAAGAGGGUGGCUUAAAUAGCCGUAGUGCUAUGUGUUAUUUGGUCGUGGCAAUAACGGGGUCAAAUGUGAAGUAGCCUGCUACGUCUUGAGCUUGCGUUGGUUUUCCCCAAAGAGGAAGGGAUGAGGCAGCAGAGUAGCGUAAGUAUUUCCCUCAGUUUUUGAGAACCAAGGUAUCAAUCUAGUAGGAGCCCAUGCUCAAGUCCCUCGUACCUGCACAAAGCGAUAGCUACUCGCAACCAACACGAUUAGGGGUUGUCAAGCCCUUCACGGUCACUUACGAGAGUGAGAUCUGAUAGAUAGAAUAUUUUUGGUAUUUUUGGUAUAAAGAUGCAAAGUAAAAAGUAAAGGCAAAGUAAAAAAGCAAAGCAAGAUUAAAGUAAUGGAGAUUGAUAUGAUGAGAAUAGACCCGGGGGCCAUAGGUUUCACUAGUGGAUUCUCUCAAGAGCAUAAGUAUUCUACGGUGGGUGAACAAAUUACUGUUGAGCAAUUGACAGAAUUGAGCAUAGUUAUGAGAAUAUCUAGGCAUGAUCAUGUAUAUAGGCAUCACGUCCGUGACAAGUAGAUCGAAACGAUUCUGCAUCUACUACUAUUACUCCACUCAUCGACCUCUAUCCAGCAUGCAUCUAGAGUAUUAAGUUAAAAAUAGAGUACGCAUUAAGCAAGAUGACAUGAUGUAGAGAGAUAAAUUCAUGCAAUAUGAAAUAAACCCCAUCUUGUUAUCCUCGAUGGCAACGAUACAAUACGUCCCUUGCUGCCCCUUCUGUCACUGGGUAAGGACACCGCAAGAUCAAACCCAAAUCUAAGCACUUCUCCCAUGGCAAGAACUACCAAUCUAGUUGGCCAAACCAAACGGAUAAUUCGAAGAGACUUGCAAAGAUAACCAAUCAUACAUAAAAGAAUUCAGAGAAGAUUCAAAUAUUAUUCAUAGAUAGACUUGAUCAUAAACCCACAAUUCAUCGGUCUCAACAAACACACUGCAAAAAGAAGAUCACAUCAAAUAGAUCUCCACAAGAGAGGGGGAGAACAUUGUAUUGAGAUUCAAAGAGAGAGAAGAAGCCAUCUAGCUACUAACUAUGGACCCGAAGGUCUGAGGUAAACUACUCACACUUUAUCGGAGAGGCUAUGAUGAUGUAGAAGCCCUCCGUGAUGACGGCCCUCUUCCGGCAGAGCUCUGGAACAGGCCCCGAGAUGGGAUCUCGUGGAUACAGAAAGUUGCGGCGGUGGAAUUAGGUUUUUGGCUCCUGUUCUGAUAGUUUGGGGGUACGUGGGUAUAUAUAGGAGGAAGAAGUACGCCGGAGGAGCAACGAGGGGCCCACGAGGCAGGGGGCGCGCCCUAGGGGGCGCCCCCCACCCUCGUGACCGCCUCUUUUGUUCCUUGGAGCAGGGUCCAAGUCUCCUGGAUCACGUUCGGUGAGAAAAUCUCGUUCCCGAAGAUUUUAUUCCGUUUGGACUCCGUUUGAUAUUCCGUUUAUCUGAAACACUGAAAUAGGCAAAGAAACAACAAUUCUGGGCUGGGCCUUCAGUUAAUAGGUUAGUCCCAAAAAUAAUAUAAAAGUGGAAAAUAAAGCCCAAUAUAGUCCAAAACAGUAGAUAAUAUAGCAUGGAGCAAUCAAAAAUUAUAGAUACGUUGGAGACGUAUCGGGCAUCCCCAAGCUUAAUUCUUGCUCGUCCUCGAGUAGGUAAAUGAUAAAAAGAGAAUUUUUGAUGCGGAGUGCUACUUGGCAUAAUUUCAAUGCAAAUCUUCUUAAUUGUGGUAUGAAUAUUCAGAUUAGAAAGAUUCAAGACAAAAGUUUAUAUUGACAUAAAAAAUAAUAGUACUUCAAGCAUACUAACAAAGCAAUUAUGUCUUCUCAAAAUAACAUGGCCAAAGAAAGUUAUCCCUAUAAAAUCAUAUAGUCUGGCUAUGCUCCAUCUUCACCACACAAACUAUUUAAAUCAUGCACAACCCCGAUGACAAGCCAAGCAAUUGUUUCAUACUCUAACUUUUUCAAAACUUUUUCAAUCUUCACGCAAUACAUGAGCGUGAACCAUGGAUAUAGCACUAUAGGUGGAAUAGAAUGGUGGUUGUGGAGAAGACAAAAAGGAGAAGAUGGUAUCACAUCAACUAGGCGUAUCAACGGGCUAUGGAGAUGCCCAUCAAUAGAUAUCAAUGUGAAUGAGUAGGGAUUGCCAUCCAACGGAUGCACUAGAGCUAUAAGUAUAUGAAAGCUCAAAAACAAACUAAGUGGGUGUGCAUCCAACUUGCUUGCUCAUGAAGACAUAGGGCAAUUUUGAGGAAGCCCAUCAUUGGAAUAUAUAAGCCAAGUUCUAUAAUGUAAAAUUCCCACUAGUAUAUGAAAGUGAUAACAUGAGAGACUCUCUACUAUGAAGAUCAUGGUGCUACUUUGAAGCACAAGUGUGGUAAAAGGAUAGUAACAUUUUCCCUUCUCUCUUUUUCUCUCAUUUUUUUAUUUGGGCCUUUUUUAUGGCCUCUUUUUAUUUGGGCUUCUUUGACCUCUUUUGUUUUUCGUCCGGAGUCUCAUCCCGACUUAUGGGGGAAUCAUAGUCUCCAUCAUUCUUUCCUCACUUGGACAAUGCUCUAAUAAUGAUGAUCAUCACACUUUUAUUUCUCUUAUAACUCAACAAUUACAACACAAUACUUAGAACAAAAUAUGACUCUAUGCGAAUGCAUCCGGCGGUGUACCGGGAUAUGCAAUAUGACAAUGAUGAAUGUGUCUUGAACGGAAUGGUGGAAAGUUGCAUGGCAAUAUAUCUCAGAAUGGCUAUGGAAAUGCCAUAAUAGGUAGCUAUGGUGGAUGUUUUGAGGAAGGUAUAUGGUAGGUUUAUGAUACCGGCGAGAGGUGCACGGUAUUAGAGAGGCUAGCAAAGGUGGAAGGGUGAGAGUGCGUAUAAUCCAUGGACUCAACAUUAGUCAUAAAGAACUCAUAUACUUAUUGCAAAAAUCUAGAAGUUAUCAAAGCAAAGUAUUACGCGCAUGCUCCUAGGGGGAUCGAUUGGUAGGAAAAGACCAUCGCUCGUCCUCGACCGCCACUCAUAAGGAAGACAAUCAAUAAAUAAAUCAUGCUCUGACUUCAUCACAUAACGGUUCACCAUACGUGCAUGCUACGGGAAUCACAAACUUUAACACAAGUAUUCUUUAAAUUCACAACUACUCAACUAGCAUGACUUUAAUAUUAUCACCUCCAUAUCUCAAAACAAUUAUCAUGCUUCAAUCUUUUCUUAGUAUUCAACACACUCAAAAGAAAGUUUCACAAAUCUUGAAUACCAAGCAUAUUAUUGUUAAGCAAAUUACCAUGCUAUUUAGAGACUCUCAAAAUAAUUUAAGUGAAGCAUGAGAAAUCAAUAGUUUCUUUAAAACAAAUCCACCACUGUGCUCUAAAAGAUCUAAGUGAAGCACAUAGAGAAAAAUUAUAACGCUCAAAAGAUAUAAGUGAAGCACAUAGAGCAAAAUUAUCUAGCUCAAACUAUAUAAGUGAAGCACAUAGAGCAAAACUACUUAGCUCAAAAGAUAUAAGUGAAGCACAUAGAGUAUUCUAUCAAAUUUUAAUUCAUGUAUGGCUCUCUCAAAAGGUGUGUACAGCAAGGAUGAUUGUGGCAUACUAAUACACAAAUACACAAAUAAUACAAGACGCUCAAAGCAAAACACAUAUCAUGUUGGUGAAUAAAAAUAUAGCUCCAAGUAAAUUACCGAUGGAAGUGGACGAAAGAGGGGAUGCCUUCCGGGGCAUCCCCAAGCUUUGACUUCUUAGUGUCCUUGGAUUAUCUUGGGGGUUCCAUGGGCAUCCCCAAUCUUAGGCUCUUGCCACUCCUUGUUCCAUGAUCCAUCAAAAGAAUUCACCCAAAACUUGAAAACUUCACAACACAAAACUCAAAAUAGAAAACUCGUGAGCUCUGUUAGCAAAAGAAAACAAAAUACCACUUCAAGGUACUGUAAUUAACUCAUUCUUUAUUUAUAUUGGUGUUAAACCUACUGUAUUCUAACUUCUCUAUGGAUUAUAAACUAUUUUACUAGCCAUAGAUUCAUCAAAAUAAGCAAACAACACACGAAAAACAGAAUCUGUCAAAAACAGAACAGUCUGUAGUAAUAUAUAGCUAGCUCAAGAUAUGUAACCCCAAAAAUUUUAAAAUAACUUGCUGGACGUGAGGAAUUUAUCUAUUAAUCAUCUGCAAAAAGAAUUAACUAAAUAUCACUCUCCAAAUAAAAUUUACAGCAGUUCUCGGGAGCGCUAAAGUUUCUGUUUUUUACAGCAAGUUCAACAAGACUUUCCCCAAGUCUUCCCAACGGUUCUACUUGGCACAAACACUAAUUAAACACAAAAAACACAACCAAAACAGAGGCUAAUUAAUUUAUUUAUUACUAAGCAGGAGCAAAAAGCAAGGAAUAAAAAUAAAAUUGGGUUGCCUCCCAACAAGCGCUAUCGUUUAACGCCCCUAGCUAGGCAUAAAAGCGAGGAUAGUUCUAGGUAUUGCCAUCUUUGGUACGCAAUCCAUAAGUGGAUCUCAUGAUAGUUUCAUAUGGUAAUUUUAUUUUAUUUCUAGGAAAGUGUUCCAUGCCAUUUUUUAAUGGAAAUUGAAAUCUAAUAUUCCCUUCCUUCAUAUCAAUAAUCGCACCAACCGUUCUAAGGAAAGGUCUACCAAGAAUAAUAGGGCAAGAAGGAUUGCAAUCUAUAUCAAGAACAAUGAAAUCUACGGGCACAUAAUUCCUAUUUUAAACAAUAAGAACAUCAUUAAUCCUUCCCAUAGGUUUCUUAAUAGUGGAAUCCGCAAGAUGCAAGUUUAGAGAGCAAUCAUCAAAGUUACGGAAAUCUAGUAAAUCACACAAAGUCUUGGGAAUAGUGGAGACACUAGAACCCAAAUCACACAAAGCAUAAAACUCAUGAUCUUUAAUUUUAAUUUUAAUAGUUGGUUCCCACUCAUCAUAGAGUUUUCUAGGGAUAGAAACUUUCAACUCAAGUUUUUCUUCAUAAGAUUGCAACAAGGAAAUACAAUCAAUUAAAGAGCAACUUUCAUAAUUAAAUUCCUUGAAAUCCAAUAUAGUGGGUUUAGCAACAUCUAGGUUUUUAUUUCUUUCAGUCCCACUUUCAUCAAUUUCAUCAUUAAGAUCUAAAUACUCCAAAUUUUAGAAUGCCUUCUAGGUAAAGGAAGAUCAUAUUCGAUUUCAUCAAGAUUCAUAUUGCAAAACAAAGAUUUAAUAGGAGACACAUCAAUAACUUUUAGAUCUUCAUCUUGAUUUUCAUAGGUAUUGGAAGAACACGCUUUAAUAAAGGCAUCUUUGGAAGCAUGCAUCCUAGCGGUUCUUUCCUUGCACUCAUCAAUGGAAAUUCUCAUGGCUUUGAGAGACUCAUUGAUAUCAUGCUUAGGAGGAAUAGAUCUAAGCUUUAAAGAAUCAACCUCAAGAGAAAUUCUAUCAACGUUUCUAGCCAAAUCAUCAACUUUAAGCAAUUUCUCCUCAAGCAAAGCAUUAAAAUUCUUUUGUGAAUUCAUAAACUCUUUAACACUAGUCUCAAAUUCAGAGGGCAUCUUAUUAUAAUUUCCAUAAGAGUUGUUGUAGGAAUUCCCAUAAUUAUUAGAAGGAUUACUAGGAUAUGACCUAGGAUUAAAAUUCCCUCUAUAAGCGUUGUUACCAAAAUUAUUCCUAGCAACAAAAUUCACAUCCAUAGAUUCAUUGUUAUUCUCAAUCAAAGUAGACAAAGGCAUAUCAUUAGGAUCAGAAGAAACACUCUUAGUAGCAAAUAAUUUCAUAAGUUCAUCCAUCUUUCCACUCAACACAUUAAUUUCUUCUAUCGCAUGCACUUUUUUAUUAGAAGAUCUUUCAGUAUGCCAUUGAGAAUAGUUAACCAUAAUAUUAUCUAGGAGUUUAGUAGCAUCUCCUAAAGUGAUUUCCAUAAAAGUGCCUCCCGCGGCCGAAUCUAAAAGAUUUCUAGAAGCAAAAUUCAAUCCGGCAUAAAAAAAUUGUAUGAUCAUCCACAAAUUCAAACCAUGAGUAGGGCAAUUACGUAUCAUUAAUUUCAUUCUCUCCCAAGCUUGUGCAAGAUGUUCAUGAUCAAGUUGUUUAAAGUUCAUAAUAUCGUUUCUAAGAGAGAUGAUCUUAGCGGGAGGAAAAUACUUAGAGAUAAAAGCAUCUUUGCACUUGUUCCACGAAUCAAUACUAUUCUUAGGCAAAGACGAAAACCAAGCUUUAGCAUGAUCUCUAAGCGAAAAAGGAAAUAGCUUCAAUUUAAUGACAUCAUUAUCGACAUCUCUUUUCUUUUGCAUAUCACAUAAAUCAACGAAGCUAUUCAGAUGAGUAGCGGCAUCUUCACUAGGAAGGCCAGCGAAUUGAUCUUUCAUAACAAGAUUCAACAAAGCAGUAUUAAUUUCACAAGAUUCAGCAUCGGUAAGAGGAGCAAUCGAAGUACUAAGGAAAUCAUUAUUAUUGGUAUUGGUGAAGUCACACAAUUUGGUAUUAUCUUGAGCCAUCACGACAAACAAGCAAUCUAACACACGAGCAAACAAAAAGCAAGCGGGCAAAACAGGCAAAUUGAGAGGGAGGAUAGAGAGAGAGAGAGGGCGAAUAAAACGGCAAGGGUGAAUUGGGGGGAGAGGAAAACGAGAGGCAAAUGGCAAAUAAUGUAAUGCGAGAGAUAGGGAUUGUGAUGGGUACUUGGUAUGUUGACUUUUUGCGUAGACUCCUCGGCAACGGCGCCAGAAAUCCUUCUUGCUACGUCUUGAGCUUGCGUUGGUUUUCCCCGAAGAGGAAGGGAUGAUGCAGCAGAGUAGCGUAAGUAUUUCCCUCAGUUUUUGAGAACCAAGGUAUCAAUCCAGUAGGAGCCCACGCUCAAGUCCCUCGUACCUGCACAAAGCGAUAGCUACUUGCAACCAACAUGAUUAGGGGUUGUCAAGCCCUUCAUGGUCACUUACGAGAGUGAGAUCUGAUAGAUAUAAUAUUUUUGGUAUUUUUGGUAUAAAGAUGCAAAGUAAAAAGUAAAGGAAAGGUAAAAAAGCAAUGCAAGAUUAAAGUAAUGGAGAUUGAUAUGAUGAGAAUAGACCCGGGGGCCAUAGGUUUCACUAGUGGCUUCUCUCAAGAGCAUAAGUAUUCUACGGUGGGUGAACAAAUUACUAUUGAGCAAUUGACAGAACUGAGCAUAGUUAUGAGAAUAUCUGGGCAUGAUCAUGUAUAUAGGCAUCACGUCCGUGACAAGGAGAUCGAAACGAUUCUGCAUCUACUACUAUUACUCCACUCAUCGACCGCUAUCCAGCAUGCAUCUAGAGUAUUAAGUUAAAAACAGAGUAACGCCUUAAGCAAGAUGACAUGAUGUAGAGAGAUAAAUUCAUGCAAUAUGAAAUAAACCCCAUCUUGUUAUCCUCGAUGGCAACGAUACAAUACGUGCCUUGCUGCCCCUUCUGUCACUGGGUAAGGACACCGCAAGAUCGAACCCAAAGCUAAGCACUUCUCCCAUGGCAAGAACUACCAAUCUAGUUGGCCAAACCAAACGGAUAAUUAGAAGAGACUUGCAAAGAUAACCAAUCAUACAUAAAAGAAUUCAGAGAAGAUUCAAAUAUUAUUCAUAGAUUGACUUGAUCAUAAACCCACAAUUCAUCGGCCUCAACAAACACACCGCAAAAAGAAGAUCACAUCAAAUAGAUCUCCACAAGAGAGGGGGAGAACAUUGUAUUGAGAUUCAAAGAGAGAGAAGAAGCCAUCUAGCUACUAACUAUGGACCCGAAGGUCUGAGGUAAACUACUCACACUUUAUCGGAGAGGCUAUGAUGAUUUAGAAGCCCUCCGUGAUGACGGCCCUCUUCCGGCGGAGCUCCGGAACAGGCCCCGAGAUGGGAUCUCGUGGAUACAGAAAGUUGCGGCGGUGGAAUUAGGUUUUUGGCUCCUGUUCUGAUAGUUUGGGGGUAUGUGGGUAUAUAUAGGAGGAAGAAGUACGCCGGAGGAGCAACGAGGGGCCCACGAGGCAGGGGGCGCGCCCUAGAGGGGCACCCCCCACCCUCGUGACCGCCUCUUUUGUUCCUUGGAGCAGGGUCCAAGUCUCCUGGAUCACGUUCGGUGAGAAAAUCUCGUUCUCGAAGAUUUUAUUCCGUUUGGACUCCGUUUGAUAUUCCGUUUAUCUGAAACACUGAAAUAGGCAAAGAAACAACAAUUCUGGGCUGGGCCUUCAGUUAAUAGGUUAGUCCCAAAAAUAAUAUAAAAGUGGAAAAUAAAGCCCAAUAUAGUCCAAAACAGUAGAUAAUAUAGCAUGGAGCAAUCAAAAAUUAUAGAUACGUUGGAGACGUAUCAUAGCCCGUUUUCAAACACAGCGCAGCAUCGGGAGUGUACACAUGUGGGAAACGGUGGUUUGAAAAAGAAGAAGAAAAAGAAGCUAAUUGCACGUGUGGGAAUCCGUGGUCAUAUAUAUUAUAUGAACAAAAAGAGACAAUUUUUGAAUAGUUUGUAGCCAUUUUGCAUGAUAAAAAUAAAUUUGGCCCUUAAAAUUUUGGUCAUUUUGCAUUUGUAUAGAGCAAAAAGAACUAAAUUUUGCUACGCAAUGUCAAUUGAUUCCAAACGAUGCAAAAAAUACAGAGCCAUCACGUUCACAAAAAACAGAGCAAACGAUGCAAAAAACGACGCAAUUCGAUGGCCCAACCAGAGCUUGGUUUCCUUUUGGGCCCAAUAACAACGUUUUUUUCAUGGAGUCAGUGGUGGGCGAGCAGCCGAGCACAACCAAUAGGAUCGCCUCUCGCGGAUCACCCCACGAUCCAACGAUGUGGAGCCGUCCUUGUGAUCCAACGGCGCGGAGCCUACACGCAGCCAGCCCACAUAAUUCCUUCUAGAAGACCAGAUCUGAGGGUUGUCGCUUGGCGCAAGGGUAUGAUCGGACAUCUGACGUUGGGAGCUAGGGUUAGGCAAAACCCCGUGGGGUUUAGAGGGGUUUUGAGCUGGUCAACGGGGUUUCGAAGGCUUUGACUGAGCAUAACUAAUUUUCUAAAAAUAAAAAAAAAUAUGAAACCUUCGUCGUUCGUCGUUUUAUAAGAAAAACUAACGAGGAAAAAUACUAAACUUGGUCUAUUGUCAUUUUCAUGAAAAAACCCUAGCUGGCACGAUCGAGGUCAAAUGAGCACCAUUAAUUUAAAAAAAAAUCAAAAAAAUAUAAAACCUGCGCACAAUGUUGUCUUAUGUGACAUGUUACCAACCAAAAAUCAUAAACUUGGUCUAUGGUCAUUUUCAUGAGAAAACCUUCACACAUAUGAGCUAUCAUGUACAUGAUUUCAUAGAGUUCAAGGAGAGGAGGUAGGGUUACCUUCUGUUUUUGAAAAAAAUUAAAAAAUCAAAAAAAUCACCAAAGCUUUAUUUCAAAGUGAAUAAGAAGGAUCUGAAGUUAGUUUUCCAUUUUCAUAUUUCAAAUGUGUUUUUAAUAGUUUUUAUAUUAAAGCAUAUGUUUUCAAAAUAAAAUGUAAAAAAUAUGAAGAUUAAUUCAAAAAAUAUUGAGACUUUGAAUCUACACUAUGGAAAGUGAAUAUGUGUUAAUAAAAAACAUUUGGUUCAUUUAGAGUGGGUCCAAAAACACUUGAUUACAAAUGGGUUGUUUACCCUAGCCUGGGAGCUCAUUUGGAGCACAUGUCUCAAAUUCAAAUUUAUUUGACCUCCUCUAAAUCACUUCAAAUUUUCACACAUGAUCUCCUACACAAACAUAGAUAGUUUGUUAGGGUUUUACUUUUUUGCAUUUUUCUGGAAUUUAUACUGUCCAGGUUCGCCAAGGUUUACAUGAUCUCAUUUGGAGCAUGCAUUUGAUUUCCUACACAACAUGUGUGAUCAUUCCAGCACCUAAAAUCAUAGUUCACAACAUCUAAACAUAACUAACCAUAGAUUCAGGAUAGACAAAUAUACCACGGGCAAAUUUAAGGACAGACAAAUAUAUAUAGCAACCAGAUUACUAGCAUCAACAUACACUAGUACAGCGAGCUCCUAAACAAACGGUUUAAAACCCUUUCCGCGACAGCAUCUAGAACCGUCGCCAAGUGAGUGUGGGCGAUAGGGGGGUCCUUCCCACACGACCCAGAAACCAUUGGGGGUAUGCCUUCCUGGCACACACGUUCGGCAAAAUGAGGUCAUGUGCGACCGGCGAGCACUCAAAUACGGAAAUACGUACAAUAGAGCUAAAAAAUCAAUUAUACGGCAAAAUUGUUUCCGAUCGCAAGUACAUCCCACACACUCAGCGCCCGCUAAACGUUUCGGUUCGUAUGUACAUCCCACACAGUCGCUCGAAUGAAAACGUUUCCGUUCGCAGGUACAUCACACAAUUUUUCCCAUUAAAUCACUUGCGUUAUUGAAUAUAUCACACACGGUUCAUGGAAGAAAUUGUGUGGAAAAGGUUGUCCAUCACACACAGUUUUCAUGUGGUAAACGUUUGCGCAAGGUGGCCUAACGCAAACAGUUUUCAAGAGAAAGUCGUGUGUGAUUGUUCAUUGAUCCAACACGGUUUAUUCCUGAAAACUGUGUGUGUUGCCUGAGGUCAUCUCCCACGGUAUUUUUUUAACAACCAUUUGCAAUAGCAAAACCCAAUUAGCAGGCUAAUUAAUUAUCUAAUUAUUCAUAAACCAUUUAUUAAUCUAAUUGACAAUUCAUACUAAGCACACAAUAUAUUUCAUUUUCAUAAUUGAAAUACAUCAGAGUACAACAUCAUAUAGCUUCAGCACUCAGCCACCCCAUUACACAACUACACUAGGACCAAGUUUCACAUGCAACAUCUAUAACCUUUCAAAAUUAGCAUUAUAGACGGUACAUAGACAAAUGCAUCUCAUCUGGAAAACUGCUGAAGCAGAAGGCGAAUAUUGAGCCUUCAUUGAUGUUGAAGGUCUUUGUAACUUUAGGCCAGUGCAUGUGGAUGAUUGACCGUCCAUCCUUCGUUCUCUUCAGGAACACUUCAAUAUUGAACCAUGGGUGUUGUAUGAAUAUAUUCCUCGCCUCCUGACCAUACAGGUGGUUUGAGAGGUAAUCAUCAGUGAACUGCUUUGGAAAGGCCUAAAAACAAGGACAUGCAUAAAUAUCUUCUCUAUAUUGGAAAUGGGGCAAAGGAAUAAAAAAGGCAAGGUUUAAUAGUUAGUAACAUCUUGUAGUGAACUGAUGUCUUCUUCAUUGUGCAGACAAAGAUCUUGUUGUUUUUUGUUGCUAAUUUCUUUAUCCUAACAAUCUUUCUAAGUUUCUUGACUUGACUGAUAUUCAUGGACAACUCAUUUCCCCAUAUGCAAAAAGGGUCGAACAGUGGGUCAAAACCUCUGACAGCAGGACCUACAUGUGCAAGACCAAAUUGUUAAAAACCUAAAUAUUAGAAUGGUUCUUGCAAUUGCACAAUAAUGUGCUAUUAGACAACGGACCAUGCGCGUGCUAAUAUCGAUUGUAAACCUUAGUGCUUCCCAUUGUUUCCCUGCAACACAUAUAAGGUAGUUAGUCAUCAAGUUAAGUAAGGGUUUGCAUGCUAUCAGUAAAAUAUGUUGAUGAAAAAUAAUCACAUUGCAGAUUCAUUAGAUUAAUUCAAGCCAUAGGGAAAACCCAUUAAUCCAAACCAAGCAUGAUUAAGAACUAGGAAAUAUAGCACUUGUAUAUGUUUCUCAUGUAUUAAGUGCACCAAAUUUGAUUUAUUCCUCACAAGCACAACAAUACAAAAUUCUACCCACGACAAUUGGACAUCGCAUUGCAGAAUUGAACCAAACAGUUAACUAAACACCACAACAAAUGAACCAAACAUUAACUGAGCACCACAUUGCACAAUAUAACAUUGAACCAAGCAGUUAACUAAACACCACAACAAAUGAGGCAAACAUUAACUGAGCACCACACUGCACAAUAUAACAUACUCCUAAUAGAAGAUCGGACAAUUAACCAAACAGUUAACUACAGCCAAUUGUAGCAAUUGUAUUUGUUUCUCAUGUAUUUACUACAGCCAAAUUCAAUUUAUUCCUCACAUGGUAUACAAUAACAGAAUGCACACACAAUUUUGUAAAGAUAAAUUCGAUUUAUUUCUCACAUGAAAGACAAUACAAAAUUGUGAUACGUCUCCAACGUAUCUAUAAUUUUUGAUUGUUCCAUGAUAUUAUAUUAUCAACCUUGGAUGUUUUACAUGCAUUUAUAUGCUAUUUUAUAUGAUUUUUGGGACUAACCUAUUAACCUAGAGCCCAGUGCCAGUUUCUGUUUUUUCCUUGUUUUAGAGUAUCGCAGAAAAGGAAAAUCAAACGGAGUCCAAUUGACCUGAAACUUCACGGAACUUAUUUUUGGAACGGAAGGAAUCUAGGAGACUUGGAGUAGACGUCAGGGAAGCUUCGCGGUGGCCACGAGGUAGGGAGGCGCGCCCUACCCCCUGGGCGCGCCCCCACCCUCAUGGGCCCCUCGUGGCUCCCCUGACCGACUUAUUCCGCCUAUAUAUAUCCAUAUACCCUAAAAACUUCAAAGAACAGAAUAGAUCGGGAGUUCCGUCGCCAGAAGCCUUCGUAGCCACCGAAAACCAAUCUAGAGCUGUUCCGGCACCCUGUCGGAGGGGGGAAUCCCUCUCCGGUGGCCAUCUUCAUCAUCCCGGCGCUCUCCAUGACGAGGAGGGAGUAGUUCACCCUCGGGGUUGAGGGUAUGUACCAGUAGCUAUGUGUUUGAUCUCUCUCUCUCUCUCUCUCGUGUUCUUGAGGUGGUACGAUCUUGAUGUAUGGCAAGCUUUGCUAUUAUAGUUGGAUCUUAUGAUGUUUCUCCCCCUCUACUCUCUUGUGGUGAAUUGAGUUUUCCCUUUGAAGUUAUCUUAUCGGAUUGAGUCUUUAAGGAUUUGAGAACACUUGAUGUAUGUCUUGCACGUGCUUAUCUGUGGUGACAAUGGGAUAUUAUGUGAUCCACUUGAUGUAUGUUUUGGUGAUCAACUUGCGGGUUCUGUGACCUCGUGAACUUAUGCAUAGGGGUUGGCACACGUUUUCGUCUUGACUCUCCGGUAGAAACUUUGGGGCACUCUUUGAAAUUCUUUGUGUUGGUUUGAAUAGAUGAAUCUGAGAUUGUGUGAUGCAUAUCGUAUAAUCAUACCCAAGGAUAUUUGAGGUGGCAUUGGAGUAUCUAGGUGACAUUAGGGUUUUGGUUGAUUUGUGUCUUAAGGUGUUAUUCUAGUACGAACUCUAUGAUAGAUCGAACGGAAAGAUAACUUCAUGUUAUUUUACUACGGACCCUUGAAUAGAUCGAUCAGAAAGGAUAACUUUAAGGUGGUUUCGUACCCUACCAUAAUCUGUUCGUUUGUUCUCCGCUAUUAGUGACUUUGGAGUGACUCUUUGUUGCCUGUUGAGGCAUAGUUAUAUGAUCCAAUUAUGUUAUUAUUGUUGAGAGAACUUACACUAGUGAAAGUAUGAACCCUAGGCCUUGUUUCAACGCAUUGCCAUACCUUUUCUGCUCACUUUUAUCAUUAGUUACCUUGCUGUUUUUAUAUUUUCAGAUUACAAAAACCAUUAUCUAAUAUCCAUAUUGCACUUGUAUCACCAUCUCUUCGCCGAACUAGUGCACCUAUACAAUUUACCAUUGUAUUGGGUGUGUUGGGGACACAAGACACUAUUUGUUAUUUGGUUGCAGGGUUGCUUGAGAGAGACCAUCUUCAUCCUAUGUCCCCCACGGAUUGAUAAACCUUAGGUCAUCCACUUGAGGGAAAUUUGCUACUGUCCUACAAACCUCUGCGCUUGGAGGCCCAACAAUGUCUACAAGAAGAAGGUUGUGUAGUAGACAUCAAGCUCUUUCCUGGCGCCGUUGCCGGGGAGGUGAGUGCUUGAAGGUAUAUCUUUAGAUCUUGCAAUCAAAUCUUUUUGUUUCUUAUUUUAUCACUAGUUUAGUCUAUAAAAGAAAACUACAAAAAAUGGAAUUGAGGGUACCUCGUAUGCUUCAUCUUUUUAAUGUCUUCCGUGAAAAUAAGAAUUCCGAUAAUUUUGCUCAAGUGCUAGAAGAAGAAUGCAUUAGAAUGUUUGGCACUAAAUAUUUGAAUGAUGAGCAUGAUUGCAAUGUUGUUAGUACGAAUUCCUUGAAUAUCCAUGACGCUAAUGAUAUGCAAAGCCACAAGCUUGGGGAUGCUAUGUUUGAUGAAGAUGAUAAUUUUUGUCCCCCAAGUUUUGAUGAGAAAAUUUAUUAUGAUGAUAGCAUGCCUCCUAUUUAUGAUGAUUAUAUUGAUGAAAGUGGAUUUGGAAAGGUCAUGACUUUAUUUAGUGAUGAAUCCACUAUUUCGGAAGAGGUUCCAAUUGAUUAUGUGAACAAAGUUGCUAUCUAUGAUGAUUAUUGUGAUGACAUGUAUGCUAUAAAGAAUAAUGAUAUCCAUGGAACUUGUCAUCAUGAUUUUAACUUUCAGUUGGAUUAUGCCUCACAUGAUAGUUAUUUUGUUGAGUUUGCUCCCACUACUAUUCAUAAGAAAUUUGCUUAUGUGGAGAGUAGUAAAUUUUCUAUGCUUGUAGAUCAUGAAAAGAAUGCUUUAUGUGAUGGUUAUAUUGUUGAAUUUAUUCAUGAAGCUACUGAAAAUUAUUAUGAGGGGGGAAUAUAUGCUCGUAGGAAUUUAAUAUCAAGUUUCCUCUCUAUGUGCUUAAAGUUUUGAAGUUUUGCUUGCUUUACCUUCCUAUGCAAGUUGAUUCUUGUUCCCACAAGUUGUUUGCUCACAAAAUCCAUAUGCAUAGGAAGUGUAAAUGUUCUAGUCAUAUUCUUCAUGAUGCUCUCUUUAUAUUUCAAUUCUUAUCCUUUAUGUGAGCAUCAUUGAAAUCAUCAUGCCUAGCUAGGGGCGUUAAACGAUAGCGCUUGUUGGAGGCAACCCAAUUUUAUUUUUGUUCCUUGCUUUUCUCACCUGUUUAUUAAUAAAUAAUUUAUCUAGCCUCUGUUUUGGUUGUGUUUUUUUGUUUUUAAUUAGUGUUUGUGCCAAGUAGAACCGUUGGGAAGACUUGGGGAAAGUCUUUUUGAUCUUGCUGUAAAAAACAGAAACUUUAGCGCUCACGAGAAUUGCAGCCAUUUUUUAAUGGAGAGAGCUAUUUAGUUAAUUAUUUUUUAAUGGACAAAUUUCUCAGGUCCACCAAUUUAUUUUAGAAUUUUUGGGGUUCCAGAAGUAUUCGAAACCUACAUAUUACUACAGACUGUUCUGUUUUUGACAGAUUCUGUUUUCUGUGUGUUGUUUGCUUAUUUUGAUGAAUCUAUGAGUGGUAUCGGAGGGUAUGAACCAUAGAGAAGUUUAAAUACAGUAUAUAUUACACCAAUAUAAAUAAAGAAUGAGUUAACAACAGUACCUAAGUGGUGAUUUAUUUUCUUAUACUAACGGUGCUUAUGAGUUUUCUGUUAAGUUUUGUGUUGUGAAGUUUUCAAGUUUUGGGUAAAGAUUUGAUGGACUAUGGAAUAAGGAGUGGAAAGAUGCUAAGCUUGGAGAUUCCCAAGGCACCCCAAGGUAAUAUUCAAGGACAACCAAGAGCCUAAGCUUGGGGAUGCCCCGGAAGGCAUCCCCUCUUUCGUCUUCGUUCAUCGGUAACUUUACUUGGAGCUAUAUUUUUAUUCACCAUAUGAUAUGUGUUUUGCUUGGAGCAUCAUUUUAUUUUCUUUUGUUUUGCUUGCUGUUUGAAUAAAAUACCAAGAUCUGAAAUUAUUAAAUGUUAGAGAGUCUUCACAUAGUUGCAUAAUUAUUCGACUAGUCAGUGAUCUUCACUUAUAUCUUUCGGAGUAGUUUAUCGUUGCUGUAGUGCUUCACUUAUAUCUUUUUAGAGCACGGUGGUGGUUUUAUUUUGUAGAAAUAGAUGAACUCUCAUGCUUCACUUAUAUUAUUUUUAGAGUCUUUAGAACAUCAUGGUAGUUUGCUUUGGUUAUGAAACUAGUCCCAAUAUGAUAGGCAUCCAAGUGGGAUAUAAUAAAUACAUUCAUAAAAAGUGCAUUGAAUACUAUGAGAAGUUUGAUACUUGAUGAUUGUUUUGAGAUAUGAAGAUAGUGAUAUUAGAGUCAUGCUAGUUGAGUAGUUGUGAAUUUGAGAGAUACUUGUGUUAAAGUUUGUGAUUCCCGUAGCAUGCACGUAUGGUGAACCGUUAUGUGAUGAAGUCGGAGCAUGAUUUAUUUUUUGAUUGUCUUCCUUAUGAGUGGCGGUCGGGGAUGAGCGAUGGUCUUUUCCUACCAAUCUAUCCCCCUAGGAGCAUGUGCGUAGUACUUUGUUUCGAUAACUAAUAGAUUUUUGCAAUAAGUAUGUGAGUUCUUUAUGACUAAUGUUGAGUCCAUGGAUUAUACGCACGCGCAACAUUCGCCGGUACCAUACACCCACCAUUACCUUCCUCAAAACAGCCACCAUACCUACCUAUUAUGGCAGUUCCAUAGCCAUUCCGAGAUAUAUUGCCAUGCAACUAUCCACCGUUCCAUUUAUUAUGACACGCUCCAUCAUUGUCAUAUUGCUUUGCAUGAUCAUGUAGUUGACAUCGUAUUUGUGGCAAAGCCACCGUUCAUAAUUAUUUCAUACAUGUCACUCAUGAGUCAUUGCACAUCCCGGUACACCUUCAGAGGCAUUCAUAUAGAGUCAUAUUUUUUUCUAAGUAUCGAGUUGUAAUUCUUGAGUUGUAAGUAAAUAAAAGUGUGAUGAUCAUCAUUAUUAGAGCAUUGUCCCAGUGAGGAAAGGAUGAUGGAGACUAUGAUUCCCCCACAAGUUGGGAUGAGACUCGGGACGAAAAAAAAA